ACUAACUUACUAACAAUUUAUUUGAACAAAAAAUAAAUAAUGAAAGCUCAAUAAUACAAAUAUUCAAUGAAAUCUUUGGCAUGUUAAUUCUUUGCAGCUUCAACAUGGUGGCAUGUCGGAUGGCGGAGGCAGCAUUUGAGCUUCUGGGUGUUUACCAUUUUUCACUAUGAACGCAGUGUCCAUGCCCCAACUCAGAUGGCGCUCUAAAUGGCAGUGCAUGAACCACACUCCUACAAUAGAGAAAAUAUACCAAUAUUAAAUCUAACAUAUUGUAAUAUUAAGAAAAAUUAUUUCCUUGAUAUGCAAGGUGGCAGUUUGGAGGGUUUUGUUUUUUGUGUGUGUAAUAGACAACAUGAGUGCUUGCAACAUACCAGGGUUGGAUGCCUUGAAUCUGAUUGCAGUCCAACCAUUCUUAGGAACAGCGAUGGUAUUCUGAAGGGGAGGAUCCACCAGAUUAUAGCGCAAAGGGUCCCUAUUUUUAUCGAAAUUCCCAAAUCCCCAUCCAACAACAUAAAAACUAUAUCCAUGGAGAUGCAUGGGAUGGUCUGUCCCUGCAACCAAGUUUGUCCCUUGAAAAACAAUCUCCACUGUGGAGUUAUACUCGAGCACCCUUACUUCUGUUCCUUUUCUCGGCGUCUCAUACUUUAAUGGAGGAUACUCAGCUGUAAAAUCAAACACCAGUGGUGGAUGGCUAGGAAAUUUAUCUCCAUAUACACCACUGAUGUUAUAAUAGUAGGCUUGUAGUAUGUCGAUUGUCGGGGAUUGGAAGCUUAUAUUGUUUAUACUUGUAGCGAGCCGUGACUUAUUGGGCCCUAAACACGAAUUAUUGGCGCAUGGGAACGUGUUCAUAGAAAUAGUGUAAAUCAAUUUAGUGCCUAUGUUUAAUGGGACAUUGCAAGGAUGUUCUGCAUCCGCUAAGCUUCGGAGGCUGCCCGUGAAGUGAACCGACGCAUUUGUGUCAUUGUGCUCAGGAAGAUGAGGCAAAGAGGGAGGUGAAGUUGGAGUGUAGUAUCCCCUGUACUGUACAAUAGCUGUGGUGGUUGUGUUAUCAUACUUGACUCCAUGGGCACUGGAAUAAACUUCAGCCGCCAUGUAAUAGUGACCCGGGCGUUGGUUAGCUUCUAGUAAGACAUCGAAGGUUUGGCCAGGUGAUAUUGUGAUAUAAUCUCGUGUCAAUGGCUUGGUGUAGCUACCAUCUGUUCCAACCACUGUCAUUUUAUGCUUGGCAAUGGAAAAGAAGAGAAUGUCUUGCAAGGCAGCAUUGAUUAUGCGAAGUAGAUAGGUCUUUCCAUGAUUCACCAUUAACUUGAAUGUGCCUGAAAUUAGAAAGGGAAAGUUAUAUACUUAUGACUAGCUAGCCAAAGGAAAAAGAAAAUGGUUCCGUGAGGAUCCACCAAUUAUAAAGUGAUUGAUUGAUCAAGGGUGCAAACUUGGCUCCAUAAUAAUUAUAGUUGGACCAGCCUUUUCUUAUGUGUUAAAUCAUGGCUCUACCAUCUUCAUAGUUAUGUUCCUCUUUCUUAGCAUUAAGCUUCAAAUAUGUUGGUGUUAAUAAGAAAAUUAAAGUAAUUUGGUUACCAUACAGGAAAAUGAAAUCGUGUACAAUUUUCAAAUGACAAGUUAAACUCUGUACUUGAUUUUGAGCAUGGAUGUAGAUCCCCAGGUUGUCCAUUUAUUAAGUAAGAAUUAGAGACAUUGGGGUCAGCUCCGGUUGCAAGCAUCUCCUCUAGAACUGCAUUCACGUCACUCUUCCACCAUUCUCCUGCAUUUCAAUAACUCCAAUAAUUUUAGAUUUCGCUUUGCUUGUUAAUUCAUAAUAUGUAAAUUAACCUUUAAAGUAAUGACACUUGUACCUAAUAUGAUAGGAACUUCUGCAUUAGGUUUAGGAAAAGGAUACUUGGUUCCAUUCUUGGGAUAGACAAUUAUAGCUCCAUGAACAGUGGCUCGGGUCCAAUCACUAUGAGCAUGCCACCAUAGAGUCCCUUCCUCAGAGGAAAGGAUGAUCUUCUGGCUAAACUUUGAUCCUGGGGGAAUUGGACAUUGUGUGAUAUACUCAGGACCAUCUGUCCAUGGAUAUCUAGGCAUCUUCACCCCAUGCCUGCAAAAUAAUAACUAUAUGUUAACACUAGUACUAAUUUUUAGAUUCACUAAAGAUGGCAUGUAGCAAUGAACUGAAGCAAAUAACCCUAAAGCAUUGUUUUAAAUUUGACUUUGCAAAUCAAUAUAUUGCAGUCUCCUCUUAGAAAUAAAAGAAUGUAUGCCAUGCAGGCAUGUUGCCGCUAUCUUUCUCCGAGACAUGCACAUGACCUACCAAUGAAUGGUGACGUUUUGUUUUCCCCUGUUAUAAACGUCGACAAUGAUCGUCUCUCCUUUCUUAGCAUAUAUAGUUGGUCCCGGAAAUUGUCCAUUUACUGUUAAGAUGUUCUUGGUGCUACAAAGCCUUGUAUAUGAAGCUUCCCUCACCUGCAAUCAAUUAAAAGUUAACCAUGCAUCCUCAUACCAGAAAGAAAAAUUACAUGUACAAAUUGUUGCAUCGAUCCAUUCAUACAAGUGUAUAACCAAUCAGAAAUUGAUAGCAUGCAUGAACGACUCAAUGACACAAGGGUACCCGAAGACCUAUGGCUGCCAUACAGUGGAAAAUGAGAGCCAUACUGGUCCCUAAAUAUUAUCACAAGGUGGCAUUAAGGCCAGAAUCAUGCAUAUAUAGUAUUUACCACAAAAGUAUGCCGACGGGUUGAAGCUUUGCAAUGGAGGCCACCACCAAAAAGAAGAAAUGCUAAAAUUUGCAAGAGGAAAACCUUCAUCAUCAGCCACAUCUUCUUCGGAAUAAAAGUCUCUUCUCUUGUACUAAACACAACUACUUCAAUUUUCUUACUAUUUCUAAUAGCAGGACUUAUCUUCUCUUUGACAUGAAUGGAAUGAAUUCUUAAGGGUAUUUAUAGAGGCUGGAGAGAACCAAAACUAGAACCGGUGAAAUCUGGACAGCAACUUUGAUGGCUGCUGUCAUCUUCAGCAUGAAUGCAUACACCAGAUUAGGUAUAGACGCGUUCAUUCUGUGGGCACCUAACAACUGGUUUCCCUCCUUUGUAAUUUCCUCGAACUUUUCCCGUAUUUCUUUCAUAUAUGAUUCUUAAUAUAGUCCAGAUGAUUUCCUUGAGAUACAAUACUUGCUCGCCACGUGUCAAUAUAAGAGGAAGUGAUUUGAAUGUGAAUUGGUUUUAAAUGUUCUUCCGGGACCACUUCAAUGAGCAGGACCACUAGAAUUAUGAUAUUUGAUCACUUACCAAAAUUUAAAUAAACCAAAUGCCUGAAGAAUGCUAGCUAACAAUUGUGAAAUUUGCUUAGAUUCUCUUGAAUUUUCUCAUUCAAAGUACAAGUUUGACUUUGAGAAUUGACCAUGAAAUUAAUUAAACGUGUUAUUUUAGAAUAAAUUUAAAAUAUUUUUCACAUGUUUUUUAUAGACUAAUUCGAGAAAUAUUGAUAAAAUAUAUGUAGAACACUUUGAAAACUUUGACUCAUAAAUAAUUAUGUAGUACCUUUAAUUACCAAGAUUAGCUAAGAAAACUAUUUUCCAUCAAUAACUAUUAAAAAUUAUUUUCAUAAAUAUUAGUUAACAAACCCUUAUUAUUUGUUUUACUUGUUUUCGUGUUACUUAAGACAAUUAAUAGUGAACCCAUGAUUUUGCUACUAUUUCCCAAAACCUAGUUUGAUGUUGAUGUCUUUCAUACUAUAUUUAAUUGGUAGAUCAAUUGGGUGUACUUAGAUAUCAUUAACAUCAUUAUCUCGUUUAGCACACGCAGGAAGAGGUCUAGAUAAUCACCUCUUGUUCAUAGUCUGCUAGCCUAAGGUAUAUCCAACCAUCAGAAAGUUGGGUAAAAUGUUCGACUCAAUGCUAAACAUUGAAGAUGUUUCUAAAAGGAAAUUUCCUUCUAGUUGACACUGAUUGAUGUCUUAAGGACCAUUGUAUGGUGCUAACCAUGCCAUCAAGGAGAGAAUUGCAUGCAAGCCAGCUAAGCUUGAUACCACAGUAGGUCCAAAAUGGCAGGUAGCUAAAACAGCUUUUCUAGCUAGCAGCUGGUUAGGUGGCCAUUACCAAAAAGUUGGGCACAUAUAAGAUGCCUUCAUCGUAGCCAUGUUCUGUUUUGUAAAUUGGUAAGCGUUACACCUUGUCUUGGUCGGCAGUGUAGAUGAAAAGCGAUUCUAUAUAUGUUAAUUUGGGACCCAUUAUAAAUCCAAUUCAUAACAUUAUUGAUCCAUAUUACGUGUUGUGACCUCUAGGGAUGGCAAUGGGGCGGGUCUUUUCGGGUACCCGCCCCACCUCGCCCCUGAUGGGACGGGGUUUAAUUUUAAUAAACGGGCUAGGGACGGGUUUGAAAAUUUUUUUAAAAACUUGGGGCGGGUUCGAGUAUUGCCCCACCCCGUCCCGCUCCGAUUAUAUAUAAAUUUAAAUUAAAUUUAAAUUUUAAAAUUAAUUUAAUUUAAUUUUUAUUUUACUAUUUUUAAUAUAUAGAUAAUAAUAAAAUAUUUUUAAUAAAAUAAGUUAUAAAAAAUAUAAUAAUUUAAUUAUUUAUAAAAUAUAUUUAUUUUAAUAUAGUUAAAAAUUUUAAAAGUAAUUUUUUUUAAAAAGGAAAAAUUAAAAUUUUAAAAAAAAGUUAAACGGGCACCCGCCCCGCCCGCCCCACCCCGUCCAGUUUAAUUUUUUAAAUGGGACGGGGAUAGGAAUUGUUUCGAAUAAACGGGGCGGGGUUGGGAUGGGGGCGACCCAUCCCGAACCCGCCCGUUGCCAUCCUGAUGACCUCGCCGAAUUUCACCACCUCCGCAUACACGGUUGACUAUUUAUUUCCUCAAAACGAGCUGAAUGCGAACUAACUAUUGCGUGACCGUUACUCCUAUAAGAAGCGUCUAAGCAAGAACCAUUAUUUGUAUAGACUCAGGCUCACAAAGAUCAACUUCAACUUAUUUUUUGAGAUUCAAAUUCAACUUAAUCACAUGCAUGCAUGCAUCCAUAAUCAAUUAUUGAAUUAAGCAGUCAGAGGUUGAAAACUUUAACAAGUCAGGCAGUGUUUGGUUUUUUUGUUUUUUGUUUUUUGUUUUUUGUUUUUUUUGUUUUUUUGUUUUUUUUAAUCUUAAAUCUAAAUAAAUAUUAAUUUAAUUUAAAUCUAAAUAGUAUUUAAUAAGGUUAAGCAUAAAACUUUUUAAAAAUCAGUUAUUUAACUUAUCAUUUUUUAAAACAAAUUCAUUUUAAUGAAAAAAAAAAACAAAAAAAAUUAUAUCAUGUUGCAAUCAAUGGAAAUCCUUAGAUUUGCAUGGUUCCCAUCAUUCAGUUAAUAACUCAUUCCAUUGAGAACGGAUGUAACGUUUGCUUUAACUACAUGGGUUUCCGUUUUGUCUUUGUCUGUUGGUGGUGACGCUGGUGGGGUUAGCCACCGAUGUUGAUCUUUUCAUACGAAUCAUGUCCAUAUCAUCUUAACGCUUCUUACUAAUUGAUCACAAUUAAUUCCUCAAUUGUUGAAAGAAAAGGUUAGGUGAAAGGAUAAGAAGAUUGUCCAUUUUGAGAAGGAGGGUUAAGCACGGCACUUGGGAGCAGCCUGACAGGUGAAAAUAGAAUAAGAGUUUAGUUUAAACACGAUAAGAGACAUUCAGACAAUUUCAACCAUGAAAUCUCCACCACUGAGCCAUCGAGUUAUGAAGUGGAAAAGGACUGAUGACUUUGAAAAUCUCCAUCAUCAGACCACCUUGUUUGCUCGCUUACUUUUUGAAACUAGACCAGUUUUACAAUUGAAGCUGAAAGCAUACACAUUUUGCAUGGAAAUUAUAAUGUUAAAAGGACAAAUUUUUCAAUGAAAAAUAAUGUUAUGAUGCGAGUAAUCAAUUGCUCUUUUGGUGUCUUGAGGUUACUUAUUUGUUUUUGGCACUAGUCUAGAUUGGGUGGUUUGUCGUCUGAAUGCUGAAUGUAGAAUUUUUCAAACAUUCUCAUUGUUUUGUGGUGUAUAAGAUAAUUGGACCUAAAUAAGAAAAAUUCAAAAUGAAAUAUAAAUCCUCUUUGUCUAGCUUUGUUUUUGGCUCAUUCACAGUUGUUUCCCAUUUUUUUGAAACUUGAGAAUUGAGAUUAUGAAAGACAAGAUGAUUGGCUAAUUUGGUAUUUCAUAAGUUUCAAUACAAAACACAAAAACAUAUUUUGUAAAAUGUUGAAAAUAGAAUACAAAUAUUGGUAAAUAAGGAUAUAUGGGUACUUAGAUUUUAUGGAUAUAUCAUAAAUAUAAAAAAAAUAUUGAUGAAUAUUUUGACAAAAAUAUACGUGAGGCUAAAAUUAUUCAAAAUUUAUGGAAAUAUUUGAAAAUUUUUCAAAAUAAUAAAUAGGUAAAAUACAUAUUUUAAUGUUAUUUUAUAAGUGUAAUUGACAUAGGUAUAAUUAAGAAGAAAGAUAUCCGUAAGCAAAGAUAUAUCAGUCUUAAUAUAUAAUUUAUUAAAUAUUAUAACUUCAUUAUUAUUAUUUUUAUAUUUUAGUAGUUUUUUUAAUAAAUUUAUAAUUUUAAUAUUUUAAAAUAAAGAAGUUCAAUAUUAAAAGGAUAAAAAUAAAAAUUUUAAAAUGAAAUGAUAGUAAUUUUUCAAAAUAGGAUUAAUGAGAUAAAUGAUGAUAUAUUUAAUAUUAUAACUAUAAUUUAUUUAAUUCAAAUGCAUUCAAUAAUGUAAAAUAAAUGAUGAUGCAUAUAUGAUUUUUUUAAUAUUUAUAUGUUUUAUAUUUAAUUAUCAUAUAAAUUAUAUAAAACAAGACUUAUUAAGAAAACUGUAACGUUGGUUUUUAUAUUUUUAUUAAUCAAUUAAAUUAAAUUUAAAAUAAAAUAAUUAGAAUUAUUAUUAUUUUUUUAAUAAUGAACUUUAAGACAUUUAAAUUGAAUAUAUAUUUACAAAAGAGGUGUUGGCCUAGUGGUAGCUAGGUUUUAACUUCAACCCUUUUGGUCGGCUGGACUAUGAGUGGGGCUGUAAAUAUCGUGAGUUUUAAACCAUGAUUGGGACUCAUAGUAUGUUUUUUCUCAACAAAAAGCAGUUUAAAAAUAAUAAUAAUAAAAAAAUAAAUAAUUACAAAUUUUUAAAAAUAAUAAUUUUCAAAACAAAUACACUCUAUAGUUUAUUUGUUGGUAUGUUAUGUAUAUGUUGGUUAGAAUGGUUUUAACCAUCUACAAAAACUAAUAUCUAAAAAAAGAGAAAAAGAAAACCAAAAGUAAAGUAAGAAAUAAUUCAAAUUUCCUUGUUUGGUUUAUUGUACCAUAUGAAAAAAAUAAAAAAAAUAAAAAUUAUUACAUAAAUAAAUUAUGUAAAGAUUUACAUAUUUUAAAAUUAUUUAUAAAUAGAAAAAAUGACAAAUAAAUUUUAGGGUGAAUCAUGUUUGUAUUAUGUAUAAAAUACUAAAAAAGAAAGCGACUUUUAUAAGGAGUGCAUUUCAAGGAAAAUAAUUUCCAUUUCAUGCAUAAAAAUAAUCAUGCAUAAAAAUAAUAAAUUUAUGCAUGUUUCCAAGAAUAUCCUCCAACCAAUUGAAAGUGGACUCCCCCAAAAAAAAAUUUUCUCUCCUUUUUUUUUUUUUUUUCAAAAAACAUCUUUCUCACUUGAAUGGCCCAAUUUCUUGGCCACCUACCUUUUUUCUUUUUUUCCAUACCCACUCCCAGCCGCCCCCUUCCCAUCUUCUCACCGAAUUAAAUUAAGUUUUUUUAUUACAAUUAAAUGAAUUAAGUUUUUUUCUUUUUUGAUACUUUGACUUUAAUUAAUUUUAUAAAAUAAUUCUCCUUUUUUUUUUUUCCUAUUUUUGAAAAUCUACUUAAUUAAAAUAGCAAACUUUAUUUUUUAAAAGUACAAUUCAUUUAUUCAUUAUUAUUAUUAUUUUUAUUUUAACAUCAUUUGUAAUUAAUGCAUUAAAAUAAAUUAGUUUUAAAUAUAAAAAUAUACUCACCUAUAAUAAUUAAUAAUCUAAUAAAUAAAUAAAUACUAAUAUUUUAAAUAAUAUUAAUUUCAAAAAUAUAUAUAGAUAUAUAUAUAUAUAUAUAUAUAUAAUAUUUUAUUUUGUUUGGUUUUCAUAAUAUUUAUAAUUUUCAUAUUAUAGGUCUUUUUUUAUAUUUUUUAUUUUAAAAUUUAUUAUAGAAUAUUAGACCUAAAUUUUUAAAAAAUAACAAUAAAAAAUCACUAUCCACAUAUGUUGAAACCAAAUUUUUUGUUUUCUUCAAAAUUAAAACAGAAAAAUAAUAUAAAAAAAUAUUAACUUACUUUUAAUUUCAUUCAAUAAAAAAUUAGUGAUGAUCAUUCUAUAAGAGUAUUUAAUUUUAAAAGAAAUAUUUGAAGGUAGAUAAAAUUAAAAUUUAAAAUUGUUGGCAUUAAAUUUUUGAAUAUAAAUUCACAAUUCCCAUCAUAAUACAUUGAUAUUUAGAGAGAAAAAAAAAACCAACGUCUUAAAAAGUAUUUUUUUUAAAAAAAUAAAAAAUUUAAACCAUUAAAAUUGUUUUAUUUCAAUAAAUAAUGUCUUUAAAAAGUAUAUUUUAUGCAUUUGUUUGGCAUAUUAUUUAAUAAUUAUUGUCAAAGUCAUAACAAUGACAAAAUAAAACUAAAUAAGCUAGUACAUCGUGCUAUCUACAAUGAUACUUUUAGUUACUAACAUUGUUAUCUUUAGGUAAAAACAAUAUUACUAUUAGGUAAAAACAAUGUUAUUGUUUUCAAUGACAUAUUUGAUGUAAAGGUUGAAAUGGCGAUAGAUAAUAAAUAGUCUAGUACAUCCUUCUAUCUAUAGUGUUACUUUUAGUUACUAGCAUUGUUAUUUUUAGGUAAAAACAAUGUUACUAUAUUCAAUGACAUGUUUGAUGUAGAGGUUGAAGUGAUGAUGGGUAAUGUGACAACUACGUAUGUGGGCCCAAUUAAGUGUACUUGUUAUCUUGCCUUGUAUAGGUGGCAACCCGCCUUCACUUGAUUGGAUGAUAGACUUGAAAAUAUACACAAAGUUACUAUUUUAGUGCAUGAAAUGAGAGUUAUUUUUCCCUAAAAUAUACUUUCCAUGAAAGUGACUUUUUUGGGUUUUGAAUUCAUCCAUAUUUUAUACAAUGUACAUGUUUACAUAAUUCCCCCUAAAUUUUAAGACGUGUAAAAUUUGAUCAAGUUAAUUUAAACUUUUUUUAAUUUUCACUUUCUUCUCAUAUUUUUUCUCACAUUUCCUUUUAAACUUUUGGAAUAAAUUCCCUACUAUUUGUGGAGCAUAAUAUAAUUUUUUCUCCAUAUGAUACAUAUUUAUACAAUAUUUGGUUAAAUUGUUUUGAAUGUUUAUUGUUACCUUAACAAGAAACCAUUCUUGAAAAUAAAGAUUAUUUUUGCCUUAUUUUAACAAAUAUUAUAUUUCUAUUUUUUAAAUAUGAAAAUUAAUAUUUUGAUUUCAAAACAAUCAACCAUUUUCAAAAAAUAUUUAAGAAAAUAGUUUUUCAAUAUAUUAAUUGUGGCACUCUUGAAGAUCAAAGGCACCAUUAUUAUUUCAAUUGUCAAACCCAAAAGUCCAAUAGAAACAUAUUAAAGGAAAAUAUAAUAUAUUAGCAGAUUGGUUAAGUAGACAAAUAAUUAAUAAUGCUGAUAAUGCUAAUGAUUGAUUUUAUGUUACAGGAACAUGGCUCAAAGAAAACCCACUAAAACUAGAACCUUUCAAUUUGGAACCAUAUGUCUGAAUGAAGUGUUGAAUCCAAAUUUGAGGUUUAACUCUUUAUUUUCUCAAAACCCUUUUGAAGAACAUAAGGUUAUUGUAGAUAACUUUUGGUCUCCAAAACCACAAAGUUUUCCAAACCAAAAUUUAGAAUAUGCUUAUGGAAAAAUCGUGUCAACUUUAGCUCAACAUUUACAAAACCUUCAAAACCAACUGAUUGCUUUAGAAACCCAAAAAUUUCAAAACCGUAAAAUCCAAGAAAAUCAGGAAAAAUUGAUAAAUGAUUUGAAAACCAGUACGGUGUCAACUAAUCAAACUAGUUGUUCGAAUAGUCAACCUGAAAUGCUUAGUUUAAUUAAGAAAUCAACUCUUUUGUCUGAAUAAUAUGAAAAACUUGUUAAAAACUUAAUUAGAUCUGAUAACUACUCUUUAGUCGAAACCUUUUUUCUGCAAACCAAAUAUAACAAAGUGUUUAAAAAUUAAGAACUUUUGUAUUAACAUUUUAAAACCAAAAAUGUCGAGAUAAAAAUAGGACCCUCAAUUUUUCUUUGUGAUAUAUUUAGCCUAUGUGAAUAUGUCUAUUGUCAAUAAAGAAAAUUUUGAUUUAGUACCCUAGUUCAUGGAUCUGAGAAUUUUAAAAAAUGUUUUUAUGAACCAUGUAUCUCAAAUCCCUGAAAAUUUCCCAAAAAAAUUAAAAGAUAUUUUAACCCAUUUUUUCAAAACCGAAAAACAAAUAGACAUUUCUUUUGAAACCAUUCCACCUUUAUUUCAAACAGAUGGAUCAGUAGUGCCAGCCUAUCACCAUGUAUAUAUAAAACAAAAUAAAAAAUCACUGAUUCCUCAACAAAAACCAGAAUGGGAAAUGACCCGUCCAAAUGAAUUUCCAAAAUUUUUUACUUGUUUUAGAGCCUUUCAGAUUUAUGAUCUUAGACCAACCCAGAACAAAUUAUUUCAUCUCAUUGGUGAAAAAAAAACCAUGUUCAUACGGAGAAACAAACCUUUAGAACACAUUAUUGUUCUCAAACCUUUUAUUACUUUUGAAGAACAUGAUUUUAUAACCGAACUUAGUGAAAAAAAAAUACCAAAACCAUCUUCCUACCUCAGUGAUGACACAUUAUUUUGGGGAAACCUGGACGAUGAAAGUUAUUAUAAUAUGCAAAAUGCAAUGGAAGGAUGAUGUCAACAAUGAUGAUAUUGAAGUAGUAAAUGCGUCUCCAACUAUAAGAAUUUAAUGUAGCAGUAGAAGCUCAAAACCAAUAAAGAAACCCAAAAAUUUCAAAACCGUAAAAUCCAAGAAAAUCAGGAAAAACUGAUAAAUGAUUUGAAAACCAGUACGAUGUCAGCUAAUCAAACUAGUUGUUCGAAUAGUCAACCUGAAAUGCUUAGUUUAAGUAAGAAAUCAACUCUUCUGUCUGAAUAAUAUGAAAAACUUGUUAAAAACUUAAUUAGAGCUGAUAACUACUCUUUAGUCGAAACCUUUUUUUUGCAAACCCAAUAUAACAAAGUAUUUAAAAAUCAAGAACUUUGUAUAAAUAUUUUAAAACAAAAAAUGUUGAGAUAAAAAUAGGGUAUAUGCCAUAUCAUGACCUUGAAUUUUUCUUUAUGAUAUAUUUGACCUAUGUGAAUAUGUCUAUUGUAAAUAAAGGAAAUUUUGAUUUAAUACCCCAAUUCAUGGAUCAGGGAAUUUAAAAAAAAAAUUGUUUUAUGGACCAUGUAUCUCAAAUCCUUGAAAAUUUCCCAGAAAAAUUAAAAGAUAUUUUAACCUAUCUUUUCAAAACUGAAAAACAGAUAGACAUUUCUUUUGAAACCAUUCCACUUUUAUUUCAAAUCAAUGGAUCAGUAGUGCGAGCCUAUCACCAUGUAUAUAUAAAACAUAAUAAAUAACCACUGAUCCUCAACAAAAACCAGAAUGGGAAAUGACUCUUCCAAAUGAAUUUCAAGAAUUUUUUACUCGUUUUAGAAUCCUUCAGAUUUAUGAUCUUAGACCAACCCAGAACAAAUUAUUUCAUCUCAUUGGUGAAAAAAAAACCAUGUUCAUACGGAGAAACAAACCUUUAGAACACAUUAUUGUUCUCAAACCUUUUAUUACUUUUGAAGAACAUGAUUUUAUAACCGAACUUAGUGAAAAAAAAAUACCAAAACCAUCUUCCUACCUCAGUGAUGACACAUUAUUUUGGGGAAACCUGGACGAUGAAAGUUAUUAUAAUAUGCAAAAUGCAAUGGAAGGAUGAUGUCAACAAUGAUGAUAUUGAAGUAGUAAAUGCGUCUCCAACUAUAAGAAUUUAAUGUAGCAGUAGAAGCUCAAAACCAAUAAAGAAACCCAAAAAUUUCAAAACCGUAAAAUCCAAGAAAAUCAGGAAAAACUGAUAAAUGAUUUGAAAACCAGUACGAUGUCAGCUAAUUAAACUAGUUGUUCGAAUAGUCAACCUGAAAUGCUUAGUUUAAGUAAGAAAUCAACUCUUCUGUCUGAAUAAUAUGAAAAACUUGUUAAAAACUUAAUUAGAGCUGAUAACUACUCUUUAGUCGAAACCUUUUUUUUGCAAACCCAAUAUAACAAAGUAUUUAAAAAUCAAGAACUUUGUAUAAAUAUUUUAAAACAAAAAAUGUUGAGAUAAAAAUAGGGUAUAUGCCAUAUCAUGACCUUGAAUUUUUCUUUAUGAUAUAUUUGACCUAUGUGAACAUGUCUAUUGUAAAUAAAGGAAAUUUUGAUUUAAUACCCCAAUUCAUGGAUCAGGGAAUUUAAAAAAAAAAUUGUUUUAUGGACCAUGAAUCUCAAAUCCUUGAAAAUUUCCCAAAAAAAUUAAAAGAUAUUUUAACCUAUCUUUUCAAAACUGAAAAACAGAUAGACAUUUCUUUUGAAACCAUUCCACUUUUAUUUCAAAUCAAUGGAUCAGUAGUGCGAGCCUAUCACCAUGUAUAUAUAAAACAUAAUAAAUAACCACUGAUCCUCAACAAAAACCAGAAUGGGAAAUGACUCUUCCAAAUGAAUUUCAAGAAUUUUUUACUCGUUUUAGAAUCCUUCAGAUUUAUGAUCUUAGACCAACCCAGAACAAAUUAUUUCAUCUCAUUGGUGAAAAAAAAACCAUGUUCAUACGGAGAAACAAACCUUUAGAACACAUUAUUGUUCUCAAACCUUUUAUUACUUUUGAAGAACAUGAUUUUAUAACCGAACUUAGUGAAAAAAAAAAUACCAAAACCAUCUUCCUACCUCAGUGAUGACACAUUAUUUUGGGGAAACCUGGACGAUGAAAGUUAUUAUAAUAUGCAAAAUGCAAUGGAAGGAUGAUGUCAACAAUGAUGAUAUUGAAGUAGUAAAUGCGUCUCCAACUAUAAGAAUUUAAUGUAGCAGUAGAAGCUCAAAACAAAUAAAGAAACCCAAAAAUUUCAAAAUCGUAAAAUCCAAGAAAAUCAGGAAAAACUGAUAAAUGAUUUGAAAACCAGUACGAUGUCAGCUAAUCAAACUAGUUGUUCGAAUAGUCAACCUGAAAUGCUUAGUUUAAGUAAGAAAUCAACUCUUCUGUCUGAAUAAUAUGAAAAACUUGUUAAAAACUUAAUUAGAGCUGAUAACUACUCUUUAGUCGAAACCUUUUUUUUGCAAACCCAAUAUAACAAAGUAUUUAAAAAUCAAGAACUUUGUAUAAAUAUUUUAAAACAAAAAAUGUUGAGAUAAAAAUAGGGUAUAUGCCAUAUCAUGACCUUGAAUUUUUCUUUAUGAUAUAUUUGACCUAUGUGAACAUGUCUAUUGUAAAUAAAGGAAAUUUUGAUUUAAUACCCCAAUUCAUGGAUCAGGGAAUUUAAAAAAAAAAUUGUUUUAUGGACCAUGUAUCUCAAAUCCUUGAAAAUUUCCCAAAAAAAUUAAAAGAUAUUUUAACCUAUCUUUUCAAAACUGAAAAACAGAUAGACAUUUCUUUUGAAACCAUUCCACUUUUAUUUCAAAUCAAUGGAUCAGUAGUGCGAGCCUAUCACCAUGUAUAUAUAAAACAUAAUAAAUAACCACUGAUCCUCAACAAAAACCAGAAUGGGAAAUGACUCUUCCAAAUGAAUUUCAAGAAUUUUUUACUCGUUUUAGAAUCCUUCAGAUUUAUGAUCUUAGACCAACCCACAACAAAUUAUUUCAUCUCAUUGGUGAAACAAAAACCAUGUCCAUAUGGAGAAAUAAACCUUUAGAACACAUCAUGGUUCCAAAUCCUUUUAUUAUUUCUGAAGAACAAGAUUUUAUAACCGAACUUAGUGUGAAAAUACCAGAAUCAUCUUCCGACCACAACGAUGACGCAUUAUUUUGGGAAAACCUAGACGAUGAAAGUUAUUAUAAUAUGGAAAAUGCAAUGGAAGGAUGAUGUUUUCCAUGAUGACAUUGAAGUAGUAAAUGCGUCUCUAACUACAAGAAUUUAAUGUAGUAGUAGAAGCUCAAAACCAAUAAAGUCAUGUAUAAGCCACGUAUUCUGCUUGUGAUAGAAAAAAAAGAAAGAGACAAGGAAGAAGUGACCAGAUGGAUUGUAAAAGAAGAAACAGAAGUCAAAUCUCAUACCACCUAUCAACUGCCCUAACAACUUGAAUUAAAUUUCACUUGUCAUUUGUAAAUCUUCUGUCUAUAAAUAAGUCAUAUAGGAAGAAAGAAGUGUGUGAAAAAAAUAAAAGUAAGAGUGAAGUAAGUGUGAACAAUCAGAGUUGUGUCUUUAGCCUUAUAAAUUUCUAUGAUCAUCAAUAAGAAAGUAAGAUAUUUCUGUUAAAUUUCUAUUCUUAUUUUAUUUCUAUUUUAUUUUAUUUUGUGUCUUUUUUUCUUACCCUUAGGGGGUAAAAGGGGUAAAAAGAUAAAGUAGGGAAAUGAAAAUUAUUUGAAAGUUUAGUUUUAUUUUACUAGUUAAUAUCUAUAAUAUACAUAGAUCAUUUAUAUAUAAUGUUUCCAUCAAUAAAAAAAAUGAUCGGGUUAUUUAGAAAGUUUUGGGUAUAAAAUCAGGUUUUAAAACUAGAGUCUUUAUUCUUAAUCCUUAACCUGUAACCCAUUUUUGCCAAAAAAAUUGGCAUGUUAGGGAGACUUUGUCUGGUUGAAAGGGGCGUAUCACCUUGACAUGAAGUGAUGUUUUAAAAUUUUGAGUUUAUUCUUUAAACUUUUGAAAUAGCCGAUCUUUAAACUUUUGAAAUAGCCGAUCUUCAAACACUUAACUUUAAUGUUAUAAAUGCUUUCACACUAUAAACUGAAAGUUUUAAUUUAAAUAUACAUUAUAAUAAUAUGUAAUAAAUGGUUUCACACUGUAUUUGAAAGUUUUUAUUUUAAAAUAAUAUAUUAUUGUAAUAUAUAUUUAAAUUAAAACUUUCAGUUUAUAGUGUGAAAACAUUUAUAACAUGAAAGUUAAGUUUUUGAAGAUCGACUAUUUCAAAAGUUUAACUUUCAUGUUAUGAAAUCUUUCACACUAUAAACUGAAAGUUUUAAUUUAAAUAUAUAUUAUAAUAAUAUGUAAUAAAUGGUUUUACAAUGUAUUUGAAAGUUUUUAUUUUAAAAUAAUAAGUAUAAUAAAUGCAUUCACACUGGUUUUGGUUUUAAAACUUUCAUUUUGAACGAAAAUUUCAAGGUUCCUACCAUUACCUUGACUGUGAAUAGAAAACUAUGGAUGUUGAUGGGAAAAGUUGCUCUUGUUUGAUAUGGUCGUUUUCUAUAAAAGGUUUUUGAUUUUCUUCUUAAAAAUUAAUUAUAGUUCUUGGGUUUUCUAUUUUGAUUUUCUUCUUAAAAAUUAAUUAUAGUUCUUGGGUUUUCUAAACUUAUACUCUCUACAUCCUAUGUCUAAAUUUUCUCCUAUAUGUAAUUUUCUACGAAGUUGUUGAUUUAUAUCUUGUUUCUUUAUUUGGCUUCUUUCUCCUAUACUUACACAUUCUCUUUCUAACCAAUUUUUUACAAAUUCUAUUCUAGCACCUAUAUAAGGAGAGUUUUAUUAUUCGGAGGUUGAAAAUUUAUUCCAUAGUCUAAGUCCUACAUGUCCUUGUAUUUUUAAGAUAUAUUUAUUUAAAUAUUCAGGGGUUCUAAUAACUAUUGAUGUACUAAAAGUUAUUAUUUGUAAGAACAAAAUCAUAAAUUAUACCUUAAAAUAGUGACUAUUGUAGCUACUAACUUGUAAAGGAGUUUUUAUACUUGAAUUCAUUUUGUAAUAAUUUUUUUUUUAAAAUAUAGUUAUAAAAGUAAUUGAAAUAUAUCAUAAAUUACUAUAUAAUUUACCUUUAUAGUGUUUUAUUGUGUUUGAUAUUUUUGUUUAAAAUACAAGAGAAAGAUAAAGAAAAAAAGAAAAGAAUGUAGAAUUUUUAUUUUAUUGAUGUUGGUUCAAGUAUUACAUUUCAACAUUAUUCCAAUGUUUUCUCUUAAUUAUACUUUUAUUUUAGUCACGUUUCAAAUUUUUUACUUUGAUCCGUUAAUCUAGAAUUAAAUUUAUGCUAGCUAUGAAUAAACUAUAGGCCUCUAAUUUGUUGUCAUUCAACAUCAGGCUUGUUUAAGAGUGGCAAAAUUUGAUACGAUUCGUCAAUAAGACUUGAAUUUAACACGCUUUUCAUGGAUACUUUGUAAAGAUUUCUAAAUUACAAAUUCUUGUGACUAGGUUUGAAAAUAUUAGGACGCAUAAAAAUCAAAAUUUUUCUUCCUUUUAUUUUGAAUUAAGUGAUAUUGUAAAUUCUUCAUUUAAACUUAGAGAACUUAUUCCUAAUUCUAAGGUAGUUAGGAAAAUAUUAAGAUCUUUUCCAGAGAAAUUUAGACCUAAAGAAACUGCCAUAGGGGAAAGUAAGGACAUUGAUUCCAUGAGUUGAUGAACUUGUAGGCUCCAUUCAAAUUAAUUUGCUUUUAGAUUUCAGAUUGAUUGUCUUUUUUUUUUUUUCUAAAAAAAAAACUUAAAUUUUUUUUUUUAAUUGACUAAAAAAGUCAAAAUAUUUAAUUUUUUUUUAAUGAUAAAAGUAACAUAUUGAUUUUUCGUCUAAGUGGUACAACCUAGAUGGAUGGCAUUGGAGAUAUGUUUGAAGUGAGUUUGAAAUGUUGGGCUAUGUCUGUCUAGCCCAUGAACCCAUAUAUUUGACUAUUUUAUAUUUGGAUAUUCCCUAAGCCCAAAUAUGGAUAUAUAAAUAGCAUUAGGGCUUUGGUAUUAUGAGAGAAGGGCAUUUGAUUGAGAAAAGGAAAGAAGAUCAUGGUUUAUUUUCUAGGCACUAUUUUAGGGCUCAAGGGUGAAGUUAUAGAUUCCUUUCAUCAACCUUUUAGGGAAUUCCUAUGGUGUGUUUUCUUCUUAUUUCUUUUUGUUCAUGUUUCCUUGGGUGAUGGAUUCUCACCUCAAGUAUUUAGAUAUUUAUAUAAGUUCUCAAGGAGAAGAAACCUAAGGACUUAAUUAUUGUAUCCCCAUUUAUUGAAGUGGAAGAAAUUUUCUCCAUGGUUUUUUUACCUCCAUUUAAAGGGUUUUUCUAGGUUAUAUUUGGUGUCCUCUUUUUGGUUUAAUGUUCUUGAUUACCAUUCUUGAUUCUUGUUAGGUUGUUAUUAUUCUUGAGAAGGUGGCUAUUAUUGUUGAGUGAUUGUUAUUAUUGUGGAGGAAUCUUUUAAUAUUAAUAGGUUAAUACUCUAGAUCUCUCCCUUUAUCUUCCCAACAAGUGGUAUUAGAGCCUGGUUGUGGGAACUUUUAUUCUUUAAAGGGAUGAAAAUAGAAGGGAACUCAACCUCCAUGAUAAAACUUAACAAUUCAAAUUGGGUUAUAUGAAAGUCCAUAAUGGAAGAUUUUCUCACCAUCAAAGAUUUGUUGGAUACUCUUGAGGCUGAAGAAUCUAGGCCCGAAGAUAUUUCUUAUUUGGAAUGGAAUAAGAUAAAGAAAAAGAUAAUUGCCUCUAUUAGGCAAUGGAUCGACACAUCCUCACGUCAUCAUGUGGCAAAUGAAAUAAAUGCCUAUAAUCUCUGGAAGAAAUUGAAAUCAGUGUUUGAACAAAAAACUAUUGGGAAUAAAAUUUUCUUGUUAAAGAGUUAGUGAAUAUGAAGUUGAAGGAAGAAACACUAAUGAUAGAUCACUUGAAUGCUUUUCAGAGCAUUGUUAAUCAAUUGGAUGCUAUGAAAAUGGUUAUGGAUGAUGAGAUGCAAGCAUUUUUAUUAUUGUGUUCAUUACCAGACAAUUAGGAAACUUUUGUUGUGACUAUUAACAACUCUGUUUCGAAUGGUACAUUAUGUAUGGAGCUUGUGAAGGGAAAUUUGUUCAAUGAAAAAACAAGAAGAAAAGGCUUACGAGACAGAAAAUGCACAGACCCUCAUCAUAGAAAGUAAAGGAGGAAAUAGGAAUAGAUGAGAGAAAUGUUAUAUCAAAUUUGAGGGAAGGUCCCAAUCCAGAGAUAAAAUCAAAUGUUUCCUUUGUGGAAAAGAAGAGCAUAUGAAAAGAAAUUGUCGAAUUUGGAAAAGGGAACAUAAUAAGCAGAAUUAGGGAAAAGAAGAUGACAAGAAUACCAUAGCCUUUGUAUCAAACACUAAUGAAGUUUUAAUGCUCUCAGAUGAGUGUUUUCAUGUAGAUGAGUAAAGAGUUGAGUGGAUUAUAGACAUCGCAACCUCCUACGAUGCUAUUCCUCACUUGAAGUUGUUUUCUUGUUAUAGAGUUGGAGACUUUGGCACAGUCAAGAUGGGAAACUUUUGUCACUCCAAGAUUGUAGGGAUGGGUGAUGUUUUCUUUGAAACUAACAUAGGGUGCAAGUUGAAAUUGAAAUAUAUAAGGCAUGUUCUAGAUUUACACCUUAAUUUAAUAUCCGGUUUUGCCUUGGACAAGCAAGGUUAUGAAAACCACUUUGACAAAGGCAAAUGGAAGCUCACUAAGGGCUCAUUGGUUGUUGCAAAAGGAGAAUCAUGUUGCACUUUGUACAAAACCCAAGGAAAAGUUUGUAAUAAUGAGUUACAUGCUACAAAGGGUACUUCCUUGGAGUUGUGGCAUAAAAGGUUGGGGCAUAUGAGAGAGAAAAGAUUGCAAGUUUUGGCAAGGAAGUCCUUAAUUCCCUUGGCCAUAAAUGAAUCCUUGUCUUAUUGUGAUCAUUGUUUGGUUAGAAAACAACAUAGGGUUUCCUUUAGUAGCAGAUCUAAGAAGAAGCUAAAGAAAUCAGAGUUGGUAUACUCUGAUGUUUGUGGCCCCAUGGAUGUGGAAACUCUUGGAGGAAACAUUUACUUUGUCACUUUUAUUGAUGAUGCUACCAAGAAGGUAUGGAUUUAUUUUCUUAGAUAAAAAAAAUCAAGUCAUUCAGUAUUUUCUAUAGUUUCAUGUCAUGGUUGACAGAAAAACUAGAAGGAAAUUGAAGUGUCUCGGAUCAAUAAUGGAGGUGAGUACACCUCAAGGGAGUUUGAAACUUACAGCACUAAGAAUGGUAUUUGGCAUGAUAAAAUUGUUCAUAGCACUCCAUAACAUAAUGGUGUGGUUGAAAUGAUGAAUUGCACCAUCAUUGAGAGGAUUAAGUGUAUGCUAAAGACUACAAGGUUGUCUAAGGCAUUUUGGGGUGAAGCUACUCAGACUGCCUGGUAUUUGAUAAAUAGAUCUCCAUUAGGUCCAUUAAACUUUGAGGUUCCAGAGAAGGAAUGGACAGAAAAAUAUGUUUCUUAUUCCCACUUGAGGGUCUUUGGAUGUAAAUGUUUUGUGCAUGUUCCCAAAGAACAGAGAUCCAAACUUGAUGAUAAGGCAGUUCCACAUGUCUUUAUUGGGUAUGGUGAUGAAAAGUUUGGAUUCAGAUUGUGGGAUCUAACCAAGAAGAAAUUGGUGAGAAGUAAAGAUGUGGUCUUCCAAGAUGAUCAAACCUUGGGAGAUUUUAACAAAGCUAAUUAAUCUAAAGGUACAAGUGAUGACUUCAUUGAGUUGAUACCUAUUCUUCUAUCAUUAGAGUUAGAAUUUAUAGGAUUAGUUCAUCCAAAAAUAAAAUUGGGCCUUAGUGGGAGCCCAACAUCCAUGAUAUUUUCCUUCAUAAUAACCCAAGUGAAAUGCAUGUUAGGUAUUUAUUGAAUUUGAUCUGAUUCAUGAAGUGUGCGAGAUUAUUUGCUAUGGUACACUAACCUUUUUCCUUUGAGGCACUUUUCUUGUUGCAGAGGUAUGCUCUUAUCUCUACCUUGUCUAUUUAUUUAUUCCUCAUUAUCAUGCAUGAUUUGUUUUAGUCCAUGACUCUUGCUCCUUGGUAUCCAACAAUUAACUGGUCAAUUGUCAUACUUGCUUUAACUUGAUUAGUAGAAACCUGAUUUUAGGGCUUAGAGGAGUGCAAUGACUUAUCACCGUACCUUCUUGAUAGGUAACUUGACCCCUGUAUCCUAACUCGAUUUUCACAAACUUGUUUUUCCCUUAUAAGAGUCACAAUUAGGUUUUCUUUCUUAUUUUGUUUUCAUUUAUUAAAAAUAAUAAAAAAUAACUGGUGACUCCAAGCUUUUUCCUAAAAAUCAAAAUUUUCACAAAUAAAAAGCAAGUCAUGGUAUCGAGUGGAAAUGCAUGUGAAAAAUGUGAGUCCACAAGAUCUUAUACUGGGGCAUAUUUCCUGACUUUGAGCUUAUAUUCAUAUCAUAUUCAAUUGGGGCUUCAUUAGGGACAUGCUUCUAUUCUUGAGACUAUCAAACCUCUUGUCAUUUUGGUCAUCCUUUUGAGAUUUUAUUUGGAGUAUUUCCUUUCAGACAUGGACAAAUUUAAAUUUUGAGUUCUUAGUGCAUUAUCAUUAAGUUGGAGACAUCAUGAUAUAGUUUCUUUAGGAGCAUUUUUAUCCAAUCAAAUAAGUGAGGAUGUUUAUGCUUUCAGUGUAGUUGAUGAGUUUAGUUUCUUCUCAUAAACAAAUUUUCUUGAGCGAUAUGUUGAUAUCUCGUUAGGGAGUUUAGGUUGAUGUCAUCUUGUGGCAUUCCUUUUAUUUCAAUUUCAUUUGUUGCAUUCUUAUCUUUGAGUAUCCUUUUGGGCAUACCCUUUUCUUUUCAAUGAGUUGAUCGUUUAUAUUUUUAGUCACCCUUUAGUAGUUCAACUUGCAGUCACAAAUCAUGAUUUCCUUUAGGCAUUUAUAACCCACAACUCGAAGCUAUUCAUUUUAUUUCAAUUCAGAGUUUAUUAUAUUCCAAUUUUCAUUUACAUCAUUCCUUCAUUCUAGUUUCGUUUGUAGCAUUCCUUUCUGAUUACUACUCAAAACAUGCUAUUUUGUAGCUUGUAAUUAGCUCUUUUAAACACCAUUGAGUAGUAAUUAUUACCUUUUAACCCAAUUAGCAUGUUAGGAGCCCUUGCAAUCGUUUCUAACAAUUGUGUUAAGUUUUGGUGCUUUUUGAUAGCUUUAUGCUCACCAAAGCAAUUUAAGAAUGAGGGAGAGCUAUUUAUAGUUCAGGGCAAAGCUUUUGAAAGCUUAAAUUUAUGAAGAAAUCAAGCUAUGGAGCCUCAUAAUCCUUUGCCUUAGUGGUUCAAAGUAUACAAGGAAGAAACAAUGGAGAAGAGGAAAACAGGGGAUGAAAACAGGGGACACAGCUGCAGUCUUUCAUUGCACUUUUGGAGCACUUCCCGAAGUCCAUUUUUUACAUUCUAUAUACCAUUUCAAAGCUCAGAAAGUCAAGAAUCCAACGGUUCAAACCAUGUAUGAUUUGGAGCUGAAAUGAGAAAGAUAUGGCCUUCGGAAGACAACUGCAUCAGGCUGAGCGAAAAUUUCGCACGAUGGAAAUCAAGGUGCGAAAUCCUCAGUCCACUGUGCGAAAAUUUCGCACACCUCAAACCAAAGUGCGAAAUUGGAACUCAGCGUGCGAAAAUUGGAUAUUUUUGCCGACUCUUUUUCUUCUGAUAUUUUUGUGUCUAAAUUUCCAUUUUCUCCUUGUAUUCAACCACUCAUGUAAUUCCUUAACUAGGAAGUAUCCAAGGAAGGGUAAAAUUACCUUCCUAUAUAAAUUCUCUUGUAAUCACUGAAAAUGGAUCUUUUCGGGGAGCUUUCUCCAGGAGACCAACUUAUGUAACUUUGUUAUAUAGAGAUCUCUUUUGUUUAUCUUCUCUCUUCUAUUUUCUAUUUUCUUGCAAACCAAACACCCUCUGAGGAUGUUUUCCCAGAGGAUGAGAGGCUAAACCAAAAGUUUCUUGGAGUAAAGGAAGCUAGGUGAAAGUCCAGAUUAAAAGGUGGAAAAUUUCCGUGCAUUAAAUUCAGGUAGUUGGAGUCCAUAAAUGGUUUCUAAAUUCAAAGUUUUGCUUUAAAUCCCUUAGGAUCACUUUGACUGGCCAAUACAUGGUAAGCUUAAGGUCUCUGUGGAUGCUUAUUGCUAGAUCCAUAUCAGUCCAUUAGUUAUCAUGUACGAGCCAUUGGAAAGUGAUUCAAGGUGAUAGCCCAUAGUGUCUUAAGCCAUUAAUGGACCUUGACUACCAUCUCUAGUGACUUUUUAUGGAUUAAAACUUCAUUGUCAAACCUAUACCGGUUCGGGAAAUAACUAUAGGUUAAAUCCCCAAUGCGAGGAGAAAAAUCCGGAAUUUUCCACUUUGCAUCUGGUACUUGAACCUAGCAACCUUUAGCUCCGGGAGACUUUCUUUUUUCCACUUUUUACUUAGUUCUAUGUGAGUUUAGUUUAAAUCACCACUUUCAAAACAAUUUUAGUUUCUUUUAAAUUUCAAGUUUGUGCUAAAGGAAAUCAUCAGAAUCAAUUUCUAAUUUAGAGUCUGUCACUGAUAGAGUGAAAACCCAUCCCUGAGUUCGACCCUAGAACUGCUAUACUAUAGUAGCUUUGCUACGCCAGUAUAAGGUCAUAGGUUUUAUAAAUAUUUUUUAUUAAAAGACCUGACUGGGAAUACAAGCGAAUCAAAUGGCGCCGUUGCCGGGGAUGGUGCCACAAUACAGUGAUACAACCUUUUAGAGGCUACUUGUGAUUUCCAUCACAAGUUUGGUGAAUUCCUUUUUCACUAAUUUCAUUUUCUUUCAUUUUCUUUUUGUUAAUUUUAAUUUCAUUUUCUUUCUAACCUUAAUAAUUUUUUUUUUCUCUAGAUUCCUUUUGUUUUUGUUGUUUUUGUCUUAUUUUAGGUAAGUAGUAACUUGUGCAUGCCCUAUUGGAUUAGGGACCAAGAGGGAAGAUUAGUAAGGAUUGAGAAUCCUCAAGACACAGAGUUGGAUAUCUGUGUAAAUAUCAUGGACCCUCCACCAGAGGAUCAGAAUUCUCAACAAGGUCAAGGGGGUAAUCCCAAUGCAUACCUAUCCAUGAGGGAUAGAAUGCAUCCCCCAAGGAUGAGUGCACCCUCAUGCAUCCUGCCCCCUCUUGAGCAGUUAGUUAUAAGACCCCAUAUUGUGCCCCUCCUACCAAAUUUCCAUGGAAUGGAGAGUGAGAAUCCAUAUGCUCACAUCAAGGAGUUUGAGGAGGUUUGCAAUACCUUUAGAGAGGGAGGAGCUUCAAUAGACUUGAUGAGACUCAAGCUAUUCCCUUUUACUUUGAAGGAUAAGGCAAAAAUAUGGCUUAAUUCUUUAAGGCCAAGGAGCAUAAGGAAUUGGGUUGAUCUUCAAGCUGAAUUUUUGAAGAAAUAUUUCCCCACCCAUAGGACUAAUGGGUUGAAGAGACAAAUCUCAAACUUUUCUGCAAAAGAAAAUGAGAAGUUCCAUGAGUGUUGGGAAAGGUAUAUGGAAUCCAUCAAUGCUUGUCCUCAUCAUGGUUUUGAUACAUGGCUCUUAGUGAGCUAUUUUUAUGAUGGAAUGUCUUCUUCCAUGAAGCAAAUUCUUGAGACCAUGUGUGGGGGAGAUUUUAUGAGUAAGAAUCCUGAUGAAGCCAUGGACUUUUUAAGUUAUGUGGCUGAGGUGUCAAGAGGAUGGGAUGAGCCCAACUCAAGAGAGAAAGGAAAGUUUCCCUCUCAACAAACCCAAAAUCCAAAGGCUGGAAUGUACAUGUUGAGUGAAGACGUGGACAUGAAAGCUAAAGUGGCAACAUUAGCUAGGAGGUUGGAAGAACUUGAGUUGAAAAAGAUGCAUGAAGUCCAAGCUAUUUCCGAGACUCAAGCCCGUGCCAUGCCAUGCACCAUUUGCCAAUCAUGUGAUCAUGUGGUAGAUGAGUGUCCAACCAUGCCAGCUGUGAGAGAGAUGUUAGGUGAUCAAGUGAAUGUUGUGGGGCAAUUUAGGCCCAACAACAGUGCAUCCUAUGGUAACACCUAUAAUUCAAGCUGGAGAAACCACCCAAAUUUCUCUUGGAAACCAAGACCACCUCCAUACCAACCACAAGGCCAAACACAAGCACCUCAACAACCAUCUUCAGUGGAGCAAGCCAUUGCAAACCUAAGUAAAGUCAUGAAUGACUUUGUGGGUGAACAAAGGGCAAUCAACUCCCAAUUGCACCAAAAGAUUGAGAAUGUUGAGAGUUCUCUAAAUAAGAGAAUGGAUGGGAUGCAAAAUGAUCUAUAUCAUAAGAUAGAUAAUAUUCAGUACUCCAUCUCUAGACUUACCAACCUCAACACAGUGAAUGAGAAAGGAAAAUUCCCCUCUCAACCAAGCCAAAAUCCUAAGGGUGUUCAUGAAGUUGAAACCCAAGAGGGGGAUUCUUCAAAGUUGAGGGAGGUCAAAGCUGUGAUAACCUUGAGGAGUGGAAAAGAGGUUGAUCAGCCCUUGCCUAACUUGGGGCCUGAUGAAGAACUCAGAUCAAAGGGACCCUUGAUUAAAGAGGGCAAAAACCAAGAAGAGCAGAGUGGGAAGAAAAGUGCAUCCAAAUCAAGCAUUGAAGAAGAACCAAGGAUAGUGAUUAAGGAGGAUAUGAUGAAGAAACAUAUGUCUCCCCCUUUUCCUCAAGCUUUACAUGGAAAGAAAGAAAUCAAGAAUUCAUCAGAAAUUCUUGAAGUGCUGAGGCAAGUGAAGGUGAAUAUGCCUUUACUUGAUAUGAUCAAGCAAGUCCCCACAUAUGCAAAGUUUCUAAAGGACUUGUGCACAGUCAAGAGAGGUUUACAGGUGACAAAGAAUGCAUUCCUCACUGAGCAAGUGAGUGCUAUCAUUCAGAGUAAGUCCCCAGUUAAGUAUAAAGAUCCGGGAUGUCCCACCAUAUCAGUCAACAUUGGAGGGACACAUGUGGAAAAAGCUUUACUAGACUUGGGAGCAAGUGUGAAUUUGCUCUCAUACUCUGUGUAUAAGCAACUGGGACUAGGAGGAUUAAAGCCCACAACCAUGACCCUCUCUUUAGCUGAUAGGUCUGUCAAAAUCCCAAGGGGAGUGAUAGAGGAUGUUCUAGUUCAAGUGGACAAAUUCUACUAUCCUGUGGAUUUUGUGGUGCUUGAUACUGAUUCCUCUGUCAAGGAAGAAAAUUAUGUACCAAUCAUCCUAGGGAGACCUUUCCUUGCUACCUCCAAUGCUAUUGUUAAUUGUAGGACUGGGGUGAUGCAGCUCACAUUUGGAAAUAUGACAUUGGAAUUAAACAUAUUCCACUUAUGUAAGAGGCAUCUUUACCCUGAAGAGGAGGAAGGAUUUGAGGAGGUGUGCUUGAUCAACACUUUGGUUGAAGAGCACUGUGACAAGAGUUUAGAGGAGAGCUUGAAUGAAAACCUGGAAGUCCUUGAAGAUGGGUUCCCUGAACCCUCUGAUGUGCUAGCCAUUAUGUCUCCUUGGAGGAGACGGGAAGAGAUCUUACCACUGUUCAACCAGGAAGACUCACAAGGAGUUGCUGUGGAGAACCCUCCAAAGCUUAUUUUAAAACCACUUCCUCUGGAGUUGAAAUAUGCAUACUUGGAGGAUGAUGAGAAAUGUCCAGUGGUAGUUUCCUCAACCCUCACUAGUGAUCAAGAGGAUAGUCUUUUAGGAGUCCUCAGAAAAUGUAAGAAAGCCAUUGGAUGGCAAAUUUCUGAUCUGAAAGGGAUUAGCCCUUUGGUGUGCACCCAUCAUAUUUAUAUGGAGGAUGAUGCAAAACCAGUGAGGCAACCCCAAAGGAGACUGAAUCCUCACAUGCAAGAGGUGGUGAGGAGUGAUGUUUUGAAGCUACUUCAAGCUGGGAUCAUAUAUCCCAUUUCAGACAGCUUGUGGGUGAGUCCCACCCAAGUAGUCCCAAAGAAAUCUGGAAUCACUGUGAUCCAGAAUGAGAGAGGGGAGGAAGUCUCUACACGUCCUACCUCAGGAUGGAGGGUGUGUAUAGACUAUAGAAGGUUGAAUUCAAUGACUAGGAAGGACCAUUUUCCAUUGCCUUUCAUGGACCAAGUCCUUGAGAGAGUCUUAGGACAUCCUUUCUAUUGUUUUCUAGAUGGUUAUUCAGGGUACUUCCAAAUAGAAAUUGAUUUGGAAGAUCAAGAAAAGACAACCUUCACUUGUCCCUUUGGUACUUUUGCUUAUAGGAGAAUGCCCUUUGGUCUAUGUAAUGCUCCUGCAACUUUCCAAAGAUGCAUGCUAAGCAUCUUCAGUGACAUGGUCGAACGCAUCAUGGAAGUUUUCAUGGAUGACAUCACUGUAUAUGGAAGUUCUUAUGAGGAGUGUUUGAUGCAUUUAGAAGCUGUUCUCCAUAGAUGUAUUGAGAAAGACCUAGUGCUAAAUUGGGAGAAGUGCCAUUUUAUGGUACAAAAAGGAAUUGUCUUAGGACAUAUCAUCUCCAAAAAUGGCAUUGAGGUAGAUAAGGCAAAGGUGGAACUUAUUGUUAAGUUGCCACCUCCCACAAAUGUUAAAGGAAUUAGGCAAUUCCUUGGACAUGCAGGAUUCUNNNNNNNNNNNNNNNNNNNNNNNNNNNNNNNNNNNNNNNNNNNNNNNNNNNNNNNNNNNNNNNNNNNNNNNNNNNNNNNNNNNNNNNNNNNNNNNNNNNNNNNNNNNNNNNNNNNNNNNNNNNNNNNNNNNNNNNNNNNNNNNNNNNNNNNNNNNNNNNNNNNNNNNNNNNNNNNNNNNNNNNNNNNNNNNNNNNNNNNNNNNNNNNNNNNNNNNNNNNNNNNNNNNNNNNNNNNNNNNNNNNNNNNNNNNNNNNNNNNNNNNNNNNNNNNNNNNNNNNNNNNNNNNNNNNNNNNNNNNNNNNNNNNNNNNNNNNNNNNNNNNNNNNNNNNNNNNNNNNNNNNNNNNNNNNNNNNNNNNNNNNNNNNNNNNNNNNNNNNNNNNNNNNNNNNNNNNNNNNNNNNNNNNNNNNNNNNNNNNNNNNNNNNNNNNNUUUGGUAGGGUCCUCUAUAGUAGUGUUCACUGACCAUCUGCUUUGAAGUACUUGCUAACCAAGCAGGAUGCCAAGGCAAGAUUGAUAAGAUGGAUUCUUUUGCUCCAAGAAUUCAAUCUCCAAAUCAGGGAUAAAAAGGGGGUAGAAAAUGUGGUAGCUGACCACUUGUCCAGACUAGUGAUAGCACAUGACUCACAUGGUCUACCUAUCAAUGAUGACUUCCCUGAGGAGUCUCUCAUGUCAGUAGAUUUAGCUCCAUGGUAUUCUCACAUUGCAAACUUUUUGGUUACUGGAGAGUACCAAGUGAGUGGAGUGCUCAAGACAAGAGGCAUUUCUUGGCUAAGAUCCAUGCUUAUUAUUGGGAGGAACCUUUUCUUUUCAAAUAUUGUGCAGAUCAAAUUAUAAGGAAAUGUGUUCCUGAGCAAGAGCAAUCGGGAAUUCUUUCCCAUUGCCAUGAUAAUGCAUGUGGAGGUCAUUUUGCCUCCCAGAAAACAGCUAUGAAAGUGAUCCAAUCAGGCUUCUCGUGGCCCUCUCUUUUCAAGGAUGCCCAUUCUAUGUGUAAGGCAUGUGAUCAGUGUCAAAGGCUUGGUAAGCUAACACGCCGAAAUAUGAUGCCCUUGAACCCCAUCUUAAUAGUGGAUAUCUUUGAUGUCUGGGGUAUAGACUUUAUGGGACCAUUUCCAAUGUCAUUUGGACAUUCCUACAUCUUGGUAGGAGUAGAUUAUGUCUCUAAGUGGGUAGAGGCAAUCCCAUGUAGGAGCAAUGAUCAUAAGGUGGUACUUAAAUUCCUCAAGGACAACAUCUUUGCAAGAUUUGGAGUGCCAAAGGCCAUUAUAAUGACGGGGGAACCCACUUUUGCAAUAAACCUUUUGAGACUCUUCUAGCCAAGUAUGGGGUUAAGCAUAAGGUAGCUACACCUUAUCACCCUCAAACAAGUGGCCAAGUUGAGUUGGCCAACCGUGAGAUCAAGAAUAUAUUGAUGAAGGUGGUCAAUGUGAAUAGGAAGGAUUGGUCUAUCAAGCUCCUGGAUUCCUUAUGGGCUCAUAGGACCGCUUACAAGACCAUUCUAGGAAUGUCUCCCUAUCGGCUUGUCUAUGGCAAAGCGUGUCAUCUUCCAGUAGAGAUUGAGUAUAAAGCAUGGUGGGCAAUCAAAAAGCUCAACAUGGAUUUGACAAGAGCCGGGUUAAAGAGAUGUUUGGAUUUGAAUGAAUUGGAGGAAAUGAGGAAUGAUGCAUACCUCAAUUCAAAAAUUGCCAAAGCAAGAUUGAAAAAAUGGCAUGAUUAGUUGGUAAAUCAGAAAAAUUUUACCAAAGGACAAAAAGUUUUGCUUUAUGACUCUAAACUUCAUCUCUUUCCAGGAAAAUUGAAAUCCAGGUGGACGGGUCCUUUCAUAAUUCAUGAAGUGCAUCCCAACGGAGUGGUGGAAAUAUUCAAUCCCACAGGCAAUCAAACCUUCAAAGUCAAUGGCCAUCGUCUCAAGCCAUUUAUAGAGCCUUAUAGUACAGACAAGGAGGAGAUCAACCUCCUUGAACCACCACAACUCUGAGGGAAAGCAGGGUAUCAUGGGCUAAAUAAGUCCAUGAAUUUUUUGUUAUAGUUUUAUAGUUAUAUCAUUAAUUUUAUUUCUUUUUAUUAUAAUUUUUCCUCAGUCUUAGUUUAUUUUGUCUUAAUUCAAGUCAAUUUUGAUGAUAAAAUUCAGAAAAAAAUCAUGAAAGGUGAGGAGAGCUCUUCAAAAGCAGAACAGGGGAGUAAAACCAAGGAAGCAGAGCACCUGAUUUCAAGGUGCCAAAAUUUCGCACACCUGAUUUCAAGGUGCGAAAAUUUCGCACACCCCAAAACCAAGGUGCGAAAUCUAUCUCAAGGUGCGAAAUCCGUUUUCAAGGUGCGAAUUUCCUAAAAUCCAAUUUCGCACACCACUGUGUAAGGUGCGAAAAUUUUCGCACUGUGCGAAAUCCUCUCUUGGAACACGUGUGCCAAUUUCGCACACCUCAAGCUAAUUUUCGCACUGUGCGAAACAGUGUGCGAAAAUUUCGCACACCACUGUUCAAGGUGCAAAAAUUUCGCACACCCAAUUCAAAGGUGCGAAAUCUUCAAUUGAAGGGGUGCCAUUUUCGCACACCCAAUUCCAAGGUGCGAAAUUUGCAGACCAAGGUGCGAAAAUUUCUCACGGUAAAAUUUUAAGUUCUAAAAAUUUAAAAUGGACUUUUAAAUUAAAAUUUUACCCCCGAAAUUGUGCCUAACGUCCAAAAACGACUUUUCGGUUGCCUUGGAAAAUUUUAAAACAUCAGAAACCCCUUAAACCUCAUUCCUAUAUAAACCCUUGAGGUCCAGAAGCCCAAAGGACACCCCGCGCACCAGCUGUGAAAUCUCUGGAAUCUCGAACAGUCAUCUACCUCCAUUUCGGCCAUGGCGAAGACCAGAGGAGGCCAUUCCGCCUCCCCAUCCUCACCGACACCUCGACCACAUCGAGCCGCCAUGGGAGCCGCAGCUUCGCCACUUGUUCAGGCCCCGGCCAUUCCCCCAUCUGAGGGGGAAGCUCCUUCUCAGCGUCGAUACCCCACCAGGAGGCCACCCACGGACCCUGUGCCACCAGUCGAUCAGGCCACGGGCCCUGUUUCUCGGCCACCAGCGAAGAGAACCAAGUUCUCGGGUCCUGGAGAGCCAUCCCACGCACCUCAGCCAGAGCCACCUACAGAGGACUCCCGGAUUCCUGCGGAUAUUCCUCUCGAGACCGUUAUCAGGCGUCCCAUGAUAGCUGGACCACCGAUAGAGGGCAACUUGGAUUGCAGAGAUCGAUCCUUCCACUCUGAGAUCUACUUUGAUAUAGAGGCCCUCAGACAGCAGCCAGAGCUCCGAGAUUCAUUCCGACUGCUGCAGAGGUAUCACAUGGAGGGUCUUCUCACUCCUAGGCAAUUUUAUUAUCCUAGAGUAGUUUUAGAUUUUUAUCAAUCUAUGACUACUCGGGGUCUCCGCAAUCCUAAUCUCAUCACAUUGCUCGUCACAUUGCUGAGGCCCUCCAUAUACCUUAUGAGCCCGUGUUUCAGGCAGAUUUCAGGGAGUGGUCCUCAUUCUCUCAGAGUGACAUGGUCCGCAUUUUGUCCAGGGGGACUUCUACAGCCUCGGUAUUGACCAGGAGAGAGCUUCCAUCUGGGAUGCUCCUCAUUGAUGUGCUCUUGCGUGCCAACCUAUUCCCCCUUCAGCAUAAAGUUCAGAGGAGAGGAGCUAUACUUGAGGCAUUAUUUAGGAUUUCUGAGGGCUAUUUCUUCGGCCCUCAUCAUUUGAUUAUGACUUCUCUUCUUCAUUUUGAAGAAAAAGUCCAUCAGAAGAAGCUUCAGAGGGCAGAUGGCAUUCCAUUACUAUUUCUGAGGCUCCUCUGCCAGAUUUUAGAGCAUCUGGGCUAUCCUAAACAGCCCCGUCUUGAGAGGCGCCGCCAUUGCAGAGAGGAUUUCUCUCUCGACAAAUGGCAUCACUUGGUAGCCUACUUUGCACCCGAGGGAGCACCAGCUGUGCCUGCACCUCCAGAGCUACCCCGAGAUGACCAGCUACCUCAGGCCCAGCAGGAUGAGAUUCUCACAAAGACCACACCUCCGACCCCUGCAGCACCCACCUCAGUGCACAUGCCCGAGGCUAUACAUUCUACCUCCCCUAUCACUCAGAGUGCUCCACCAGUCGUACUAGCUACCCCAGCACCUCCUCCUUCAUCUGAGCCCACUGUCACCGUUUCUCUUGCGGAAUUCAGAGGCUUAGUGCGUUCAUUGCAGACACUGAGCACUGCUCAGGAUUCUAUUAUCCACCAGAUGGCCACUAUUCGUGCACACCAGGAUCAGAUCAUUGCUACUCAGACCUAGCAUACCACGAUCCUUCAUCAGAUUCAGCAGCAUCUGAGUAUGCAGACUCCUCUUAGGCAUGAUAGGUCUGCACCAUCCGAGCCUCUAGUGCCAGGUGAGGAGAGCUUGCCAGCUGAGCAGCCUAUACCAGAGGAGGAGAUCAGAGCAGAGCCAUCACAUGACCCCACUCAUAUAUGAUCUUUUUAUGUUUUACUUUAUAUAUUAGACUUGUAAAUCCCAUCUUUUGCAUGUGUUAUAAACUGAGAUUGGAAAUAGUACUUGAAAUCAUACAUUGUAUAUUUCUUUUCCAAGUAAUAUAUACAUAUAUAUAUCCUUUUUUAUUAUAUUCCCUUUUCUCAUUACUCUUUUGUCUUUGGAACAUGUGGUUUAAGGUAUUCCAUACCUCCUUUACACUCAGACUUUGUCUCACUCAGGAGGUACCACUUCCUCCCUUUAUUUUUAAUCGCUUUUGAAACAUUGAGGACAAUGUUCAACUUGGUUGGGGGGAGAGUUGAGAAAUGAAGUUUUGUUGUUAAUAUUAAGUCAUUUUGGUAUUUUAGUUGAUUUUUCCUUAAAAUUUAAAAUUGCUAAAAGUUUUUUGAAUCAUUCUCUUUGGUUGUUAAAGAUAAUUUCUCAAAAAUAAAAUAGGAUAAGUCGAGUUUUAACUUAAUUAUUUAAGUCUUAGAGUUUGUUUUAUGCUUUCAAAGUUGAUAAUCUAUUGAAGCCUCUUUGAUUUUGAACUUUCUUCUUCCAUUUCGAGCUUUACACACACUGUGCACAUUAGAUCCCGGAUAUAAGAUGUAAAACUUUCUCACUUUCUAAGCUUAGGAAAAUUUUGACUUGGUUGAUUACUUAACCUCUCUUUAAUAGUGUUGGGACACCUCAUAAAGACCAAUGAGUCUUUGAAAAAAAAAAAAAAAAAAAGAGAAUAAGCCUCUAUUCUUUCCUUGAAACCUAAGUAUGAUCCGAAGGGGUGGCGAAAGCCUUUAAAACCCGAUGCCCUAAACCUUGAUUGGUUGGGAGUCAUCGAUCCUCUGCUUGCUACAUAGGUGAAUUGGUUAAGUUUAGUGAGUAAAAAAGAAUUGUGAAUAAGAAGGUGCGUUCUUAACCUAUUAAGAGUUGAUUAAUUUUGCCAAUAUUCGAGAAAAGCUUAGGUUGGAGGGUGAGGAUAGUUGUAUAUACUAUAUCCGGAAGCUAAUUUCAUUAACACUUAGCUUAUUAUGGAAGAGUUUGAUUUGAAACCUUGAGAGUAGAGAUUCUUUUGAUACUUAAUUGCAUAAUCUCCACUCUUUGUACUUUUUGUUUAAGUUUAAGCUUUGACAACUCCUAUUGCAUUUUGAAUCUUCAUAUCUUUAGUUCACCAGGAGAGAUGUGUUUGGAUAUCAGUCAUGCCACUCAAUUAUUUUUUGGAAUGAAUUGCAUGACUUCUUUUAUGUAUAUUAUUACGUUUGCUUAGUUUUUCUCUCCUUAAUUGCUAAGGGACUAGCAAUAUGUCGGUUGGGGGGAGUGAUUACUACUCAAAACAUGCUAUUUUGUAGCUUGUAAUUAGCUCUUUUAAACACCAUUGAGUAGUAAUUAUUACCUUUUAACCCAAUUAGCAUGUUAGGAGCCCUUGCAAUCGUUUCUAACAAUUGUGUUAAGUUUUGGUGCUUUUUGAUAGCUUUAUGCUCACCAAAGCAAUUUAAGAAUGAGGGAGAGCUAUUUAUAGUUCAGGGCAAAGCUUUUGAAAGCUUAAAUUUAUGAAGAAAUCAAGCUAUGGAGCCUCAUAAUCCUUUGCCUUAGUGGUUCAAAGUACACAAGGAAGAAACAAUGGAGAAGAGGAAAACAAGGGAUGAAAACAGGGGACACAGCUGCAGUCUUUCAUUGCACUUUUGGAGCACUUCCCGAAGUCCAUUUUUUACAUUCUAUAUACCAUUUCAAAGCUCAGAAAGUCAAGAAUCCAACGGUUCAAACCAUGUAUGAUUUGGAGCUGAAAUGAGAAAGAUAUGGCCUUCGGAAGACAACUGCAUCAGGCUGAGCGAAAAUUUCGCACGAUGGAAAUCAAGGUGCGAAAUCCUCAGUCCACUGUGCGAAAAUUUCGCACACCUCAAACCAAAGUGCGAAAUUGGAACUCAGCGUGCGAAAAUUGGAUAUUUUUGCCGACUCUUUUUCUUCUGAUAUUUUUGUGUCUAAAUUUCCAUUUUCUCCUUGUAUUCAACCACUCAUGUAAUUCCUUAACUAGGAAGUAUCCAAGGAAGGGUAAAAUUACCUUCCUAUAUAAAUUCUCUUGUAAUCACUGAAAAUGGAUCUUUUCGGGGAGCUUUCUCCAGGAGACCAACUUAUGUAACUUUGUUAUACAGAGAUCUCUUUUGUUUAUCUUCUCUCUUCUAUUUUCUAUUUUCUUGCAAACCAAACACCCUCUGAGGAUGUUUUCCCAGAGGAUGAGAGGCUAAACCAAAAGUUUCUUGGAGUAAAGGAAGCUAGGUGAAAAGUCCAGAUUAAAAGGUGGAAAAUUUCCGUGCAUUAAAUUCAGGUAGUUGGAGUCCAUAAAUGGUUUCUAAAUUCAAAGUUUUGCUUUAAAUCCCUUAGGAUCACUUUGACUGGCCAAUACAUGGUAAGCUUAAGGUCUCUGUGGAUGCUUAUUGCUAGAUCCAUAUCAGUCCAUUAGUUAUCAUGUACGAGCCAUUGGAAAGUGAUUCAAGGUGAUAGCCCAUAGUGUCUUAAGCCAUUAAUGGACCUUGACUACCAUCUCUAGUGACUUUUUAUGGAUUAAAACUUCAUUGUCAAACCUAUACCGGUUCGGGAAAUAACUAUAGGUUAAAUCCCCAAUGCGAGGAGAAAAAUCCGGAAUUUUCCACUUUNNNNNNNNNNNNNNNNNNNNNNNNNNNNNNNNNNNNNNNNNNNNNNNNNNNNNNNNNNNNNNNNNNNNNNNNNNNNNNNNNNNNNNNNNNNNNNNNNNNNUACCAAAAAGUGCUAUUUUGUAGACCUAAUUAUAAUGGUUUUAAGCACCUUUGAGUAGUAAUCAUAUUCAUUUAACCCAAUUAAUUCAUUAAGGUCCUUAGUAAUUGGUUUUAACCAUUUUGUGGCAAGUUUACAUGUUUUUAUCAGCUUAUGAAUCAAUUCAAGCAUGCCAAAUGAUGGAGGAGCUACUUGGACAAGUUAUGGCAAAGCUUUUGGAAGCUCAAAUUCAUGAAGAACCAAGCUUUGGAGCUCCAUAGCCCUUUGCCAAAGUCGUUCAAAGUAUGCAAGGAGAGAAGCAAAAAGAAGCAAAGAGAAGCAAAGAGGACAGCAGCUGCAGUCUUCUUUCGCACUUUUGGAGCACUUACCGAAGUCCAUUUUUUACAUACUAUAUACCAUUUCAAAGCUCUGGAAGUCAAGAAUCCAACGCUUCAAACCAUGCACGAUUUGGAGUUGAAAUGAGGAAGAUAUGGCCUUCGGAAGACAACUGCUCCAGGUUAUGCGAAAAUUUCGCAUAACACCUUCAAAAUUCGCAUAACCCAUGCGUGUUGCGAAUUUUCCUCUGCUUUUACUGACUCCACUUUAGAUAUUUUCCUUCGUAUUUUGUGAUGUAAUUUCCUUUCUUAUCCUUGUAACUAACCAAUCACAAGCUUUUGCUUUUGUAAAGACUGUAUAAGGGGUGGAAAUCACCUCUUGGAUAUAGAUAGAAUACGUAUUACGUUUUACACUUAGAAUAUACAGAGCUCUCUCGUUUCUCUUUUCUCUUUACUAUUUUCUUUUUCUCAGAAGCCAAACAGCCUCUGAGGGCUUUUCCUCAGAGUAUGAUUGGCUAAAACCUUUAGUUUCUCAAAGUAUGGAUGUUAUGUGAUGGCUUGGAUGCAAUCCCAUGGAAAUUUCUCGCACCCGGAAGGUAAGGUAGUCGUUUUUCAUUAAUGGUUCAUUAAUGUAAAGUUUGGUUUUUAUUUCCUUUGGACAACUUCCAAUGGCCAAUACUUGAUAAGCUUUUGGAUUUCUAUCCAUUAGUUAUCUCCUACGAGCUAUUGGAAGGUGAGGUUUUCAAUUCCAAGUUUUGUAUUAAUCCGUUAGAACCAAUUUCAAUGGCCAUUGAAAGGUGAGUUUAUCACUUGGAAUGACUUUGAGUUGCUAAUAUUUGGUAAGCUUUUGGAUUUAGACCAUUAGUUAUCUCUUACGAGCCAUUCAAAGGAAGUCUAAGGUGAAUAACCAUUGAUGAAAUUCACUACCAUUUGUUUUGCCAUUUUAAAGGAUUAAAACUUGAUUUGCUAAAUCCAUACCGGUUCGGGAAGCAAGCAUCACCAUAGUUGCAACCCCAACGCGAGGAGCCUAUCCUGAGAUUUCCAAUUUGCAUAAGAGCCAGAGCAUAGCUAUCCUAUCUUUGAGAAACUUGUUUUUACACCCUUUCAUUUUAGUCUUUAAUGUUAGCUUAGAUUAGUUUAAAUCUUUCUAAAACAUUUACAUCUUCUUUUAAAGCUAACAUCCAUAAGAAAAUCACCUAUUUUCCUAAUUUGAAUAUCACUUGUGUUUGCGAAAACCCUUCCCAGUGAACGAUCCUAGAACCACUAUGCUAUAGUAGCUUGGCUACUUUAGUAAUAGUAUUCAAGGUAUAAAUUUUGUUGAUACGCCUUUAAAGCUAAGCUACCAUGAGUCGAAUCAAUACCCUCUUGUAUUUAGUGAGUUGAUCGCCCUUAUCUUAGUUAACCUUAGUGGUUCAACUUGGAGUCAUGGAUCAUGAUCUCCCUUAAGCGUUCAAAGCCCACGGCUUGGAGCUAUUCAUUAUAUCUUAGUUCAAAGUUUAUUAUCAUUUUUGUCUCGUUCAUGGCAUUCUUUCAUUUUGAUUUUGUUUAUAGCAUCCUUAUCUUUGAGUAUCAUAUGGGGUAUACCCCUUUUUUUUUAAUGAGUUGAUCAUCCUUAUCUUUAGUCACCCUUUAGUGGUUCGACUUGGAGUCGUAGAUUGCAAUCUCCCUUAGGUGUCACUAUAAGAAAUUUUAUUUUUCCUGACUAAUAUACAUAGUUGAAAUAAACAUUUACUAACGGAUAAUCUCAACGCAUGGUAGUCAGGGAAAGGUGUGUAGGCAAAAGUUUAUUGAUGGGAAUUUUUCGCUACCAAUAAAAAAAAUUUAGCAACAAACUAUCCAAUGGAUUUGGACCGUUGCUAUUACCAACAGAUUAAGUUGGUGGGGAAAUGUAAAUAAUUAAAUAUUUUAGAUUGUCAUUUAAUCUCAAUUUCAUUAUAUUCAACAUAGAGCACCUUGUUACACUCUUUGCUAGUUUUCGAUAUUUACUUGGUUGUUGGCUUGCCACAACACUCUUUGCUUGUUUUGGAUAUUGACUUGGAUGCUCUUUUUUUUUUUUUUUUCUGGAAUUGAACUCAUGACACCAAGUUUGAAAGGAAGAAACUGUGCCAUCAAGCCAACUUUGUUAUUUGCAAGAUAAAGAAUAGAUAUAAGAUUCAUAAGUAAAAAUAUCCUAUACUUACACGUUUAUAUUAUAAAUAUUAUCUAUAUAUAAAUACAUAUUAUAAAUUAUAUAUGCAUGAAUUAAUAUAAGGUUUGUUACCUUUUAAGCAUAGAAUUCCUCUUUCUCUAAAUUAGUGUGCUAAAACACUUGAGGAGAAAGAGUGCAUGAAGUUAAUACCUUAUGCCUCUGCAAUGGGUAGUCUUAUGUAUUUGAUGCUAUGUACUAGCCUAGAUAUUUUCUUUGCAAUGGGUAUGGUGAGUAGAUAUCAGUCUAAUCCAGGUCCAAAACAUUGGACAACAGUCAAGCAUAUACUCAAGUACCUUAGGAGAAUGAGAGAUUAUGUGUUUGUGCUCCAAAGUGUUGAGAUAGUUUAAAGGGUGACAUGAAGGUUGAUAAGAUACCUUCUGUGAAGAACCUAGCGGAUCUCUUCACCAAGACAUUGUCAGGAAGAGUCUUUGAUGGUCACAAGGAUAACAUAAGUUUCAAAUGAGUAUCCGACAUGCUUUAUAGGCAUGAUGCGUUAAGGGCUAGUGGGAAAAUGUUAAGAUAGAGCCCUUAAAAGUAUGACAUGAUGUAAUAAAUUUGGAAUUCAUUAUUUAUUUAACGAUGUUCCAGAUUCACUUUUAUCGAUCCUUAUUCCAUGUAUUAUACUUUACGAUCAUUCUUGCCUACAUCCUUUACAUUGUACGUGACCUAGGUUCAUUAGGAGUUGCACAACAGAUCUAAGUCAUGGGUUCCUUACAAAGAGUUGACUUGUUCACAACUGGUUCAUAGGUCUAGGAAACCCAUUAGAGGUUAUAGGGCACCACCUCCUAAUUGGAGGGAUGACUAGUCUUGGUUAUCGAGAUGGUUUUCCCAUGGUGAGUGCACUGGUGUGUAUGGUUACAUAUUAGACAAGACCUAUGGUGAGUCAUGACUUAAGGCUAUCAAGUAGUCAUGACCUCACCAAGUUGCUUCAUUAUGUUGUUUCUCAACCUUGAGAGAAUAUUGAGUUUGUGCUAAAGUUAGCAAUGACUUUGAUCUAUGGAUGAGAUCGUAAGCUAAUCAUAUAUUCCCUAUGGAUUAGGUCAUUGCUGAUGGAAGCCUGUAGCAAUAGUGUGUUCAUGGAAACUAUAGCCAUAGUAGUUCCUUAAGUAAAACUUGACAUAGACUCUUUGAGAGUUAAGAUAUGUAAAUUGAACACACAAUAGGAGGAUCCGUAACUCAAGGAUGGUAGAGGUAAUCUUGAAAGGCCGAUAGCUUUCCCCUAGUUAGACUAUGGACACUAGCUCAUAGGAAGACUAAACACAAUGGAUAGCAAGUCAUAGACCCGAGCACUUGAUGUCUCGUUGUUAUUUACAUAGGAUACUGGAGUUCAGUUGAUUCUCUGUAGUGGGAUGUGGAAUCCACUUUAAAAUUGGAUUCUAAGGGAGUUAGUAUUCCUAUGGGUCCCAGUGGUCCCCGCUCUAAGAUCAUUUACCUUGUUGGCAUGGGUUAUGAGGGUUAGAUUAGCUCUAGGUCCACUUUUGUGCAUAAGGACGUUUUGGUAAUUAAGUAAGGUUCCACAUGGGUAAGUGAACAAGGUCUCUGGAUUGGGCUAAUUGUUUAAUUAGUAGGCCCUAUUUGGUUAAUUAAUCAUAUAGGACCCAUUUUGGGUUAUAUUUAGUUACCCAAGCACAUGUGGGCUCAAGUCACUUAAGCCCACUUAGGAACCCUAUAAAUACACUCUAAGGGUUAGGGUUUCCAUAAUUUUUUGUCUUCCACCAUCAAUAGAGAUAGAGAGCCAUAACCUUCACCCUCUUUUCCUCCCCACCGGAAGUGUGUGAAGAUCAAGGUUUGAGUCAUUAGGCGAAAGAUUGUAGGUUUAUGAGACUUCUAUGAUUUCAUUUUUCAUCUUCACCAUGUAGAUUUGAUUCAAGAACUAUUUUUAAAACAUUUUGCCAAACAUUCUUAUUUUAAAAAAAAUUAAAAACUGUUUUUGGUUCUUUAUUUUGAAAAAAAAAAUUUAAAAACAAUUUUUUAAAAACACUACAAAAUAGGCCCUAAGUUAUCCAAAGAUCAUUUUUUUUUUUAAUGAAAUAGGUUCAAUAAAAUAUUUCUAUUAAAUAAGAAAAAGGGACCCAAAAAUUUCUUUUAAUAAAAAUAGGUUUUAGACAUUUUUUUAGAUAUAAUAGUCCAAAAAUUUUGUUUUGAUAAAAGAAAUAGUUUAGAAUUUUAAAAUAAAUAAAUAAAUAACACGUUCAUAAUUUUUUUUUCAAAUAAAAUAAAAUACUCCAACAAUCUUAUUUGAAUGAAAUAACAAUUCAAAAAAUAUUAUUUUUAAUAAAAGAAAGUUUUCUUAAUAGAAAGUUCAAACAAAUGUUUUUAGAAGAAUCUAGAAAAAAAAUAAUAAAAAUUCAAAAAAUUGUUUUUAAUAACAAGUAGUCUAGAAAUUCAUUUGUUUAACAAAAUUUUCUAGAAAAAUUGAUUUUAAAAUAAAAUUGUCCAAAAGUUAAUUUUAAUACAGUCGUCUAAAAUUGAUUUUUAAAUAUAACUCUCUUUCCUUGAUAAGAAAGGGAUUAAAAAUAAUUUUUAUAAAUAGAGGUCUUAAAGAAUUUUUUAAAAUUAGAAUAGCAUGAGUAAACCUUUAAAUAGAACUGAAAAACCUUCUUUUUUAAUAAAUUGGUAAACAAAUCUCCUACUAAAUGAAAUCCAAAAUUAUUUCUUAAUAAAAUUGGAAUCCUUGGGAACAAAUUUGUGAAAUUCUUUCUCUAAAUAAAUUUGUAAUAAAGAAUAUUUUUCUAGGUAAAAUAAAAAAUAUAUAUAUCCAAUAAAAUUGGGUUGAAAUUCCUUCUUAUAAACUUGUAAAUAUCUUUCUUAAGUUUGUAGAUUUUUUUUAAAUAAAUAAAUAUUGAAUCAAAACACUUUUUAAAAUAAAUUAGUAAAAUCCACCCCUCUUCUUAAUAAGGUAAACAAAAAUCAUUUCUUGUAAAUCAAAUCAAAUCUUUUGUAAUAAAUUGAAGCCUUGUGAAUAAAUAAAUUCAAAUCACUAAUUUGAAAUUGUUGUUAAACUAAACGAAUUCUUUGAAAAUUCACGGAAAUUGUGUUAUGAUAUUUGAAAUAAUAAAAUCUUUCUAAUAAAUUAUUUUGUGCAUUUCUCAUGUAUCAUUUCUACAUAUCCUUAUAAUUUGCUUUUGCAUUAUUCCAUGUACUUGUAUUAUUCCUUUUUUUUUUUUUUAAGUAUUCAUGAUUAACUAAUUAAUUAUCAUAAUUCUCUUUUACAUGCUUACUAGAAACCUUUUUAAGGCUUAAAGGGGUGCUACCCUAUGGUACCUUCCCAAUAGGUAACCUGACCUUUAGAUUCGGAUUCGGUUUUUACCGACAUGUCUUUUCUUUAAAAAAUGAGUAACAAUAGGGCUUUAUUUCUUUUUCUUUUCUUUUCUUUUCUUUUCUUUUUAAAAAAAAAAGAAUGACGACUCCAACUUUUAAAUAUAAAAAAUCAGUUUUUUUAUAAUAAAAACAAGUUUUACCAUCAAGUGUGGACGCACAUGAAAAAUGAUAGUUCAUAAUUGUAUUUCUUAGACUUAAAAUAUAAUAAAAUUACUAAAUCAAUGAAUGUUAUGAGUUUUUACAUCUUUGAUCAUAAAAGAUUCAAAGUACAAUGGAACAAAUAGUUUUCAAAAGGAAAAUAAAAAUGUUUAAAAUGGAAAAUCUAACAAUAAAGACAAUGAAACAAGGUGAUAUGGUAGGAGUUAAAUAGAGAAAUCUUUUAUCCAUGAAUUUAUAGUUUAUUUAGUAGAAAAAAGUUCAAAAGAAAUAUUGCAUACAUUAAUGGAUUAAGUAGAUAAAAGGGAUUUAGGUAAUUUGAUAUUUAUGCUUUAGUUCGAUAACAUCAAAUAGAAAUUUGAUAUUAUUAGUUUCCAUAUUGAGUUUAGAAAUCUAUCAAAUGGAUGUUAAGAUUAUCUUUCUUUGAAUGGUUGUAUAAAUAAAGAGUAUAUGGGGUAACCUAAAGGACUUAUGACAAGAACACAAAGUUAGGGAUAGAUACAUUUAGCUAGGUUGGAUUAUAACCAAUCCAAGAAUCAGAUAGAAGUUGAUUGGUUUUAACUAAAGUAUAACAAAUUUAUUUAUUGACUCAAACUAAUCCAACUUAAUAUUAGUUCGAUUCAGUUUAGUUAACUCAAUUUAGACCAAAAUAUUGAGUCUAUAUGUUUUUUUUCUCCACAUUGACCACAUAACCAAAAUGAUCAAAUUGUUUUAGAUAAAUAUAUAUAUAUAUAUUUACAAAUAAUACAACUAAAAAUUUUAAAAAUAAUGUGUAGGAGCAAACCGAUGGGUUAUUUUCUUAUUGGGAAUAAGUCAAUGAGUAGUAUUAUUGACAUAUUGGGUGCUUGUGACUUGAAAUUAUAUUAUCAUCAUUAUUAAGUCCCACAGUACAAGGAUUUUAAAUUUUAGAUCAUGCUUAUGCCAUAAGCAACUUUUAAUUUGUAAUAAAGCCAUGCGAGUUAGGCUCUAGGCCUCCAACAUCAAACUGUAGCCUAGCUAAGUUAGCUUUGGAUGAGCAUGGUUUGACUCACAAAGUCUCAAGAUUCUCCAUAACACUCCAAAUCCAAGCAAUUAUAUUUGUCCCACUCCUCUAGUACUUGGGUUUGUUUGCCAAUCCACUUUUAGUAAGUGAUCUAGGUCGAACCUUUCAUAAGCCAAAUACUUAAACUAGCUUGAUCUCUAGUUUCACUACAUUACCAAAAUAAAGUAAUUCAAGUAGAAAGAACCAAUGGCACAAGCAUGACAAAAUUUUCUAUUGGGGACGUUUACAAAUAGUAUAUGGAGACCUUUUUCCAGUAUAAUUUGAGACAAAUGCUAAUGGGGUUGCCUAUGAACUAUUCUCCAAGGCUAGUUAGGCUUAUCUAUUAAACAAAGGAAAUUGAAGAUUUGGGGGUCAAAUAAAAGUAAUCAAGUUUAAAGUUGAUGGAAUUGUUUAUUAGCUCAAUAUAGAGGCUUAUCUCAAGCACUUUCUUAGGGCAAUGCUUCAAGUCGAUUAACUGCAUGCAUGCACUAAAGAGCUACUACAAGAGAGAAUGAUCUUUUGAACAUAUGUAAUUGAUUGUGUAUUAAUUAAGAAGGCUUCUAAAGUUGGAUAAGUUGUUUAGAACUUUUAAGAGGGAAUUUGUAAACUUCACAAAAUUGAUCUAAGAGACAUUUACCAAGUUCUAUCAUGAUAAUAAAGUAUUGAGGAGAAAAUGUACCACCAAACCAAGUUGUAUUUGCUAAGAAUACUCACUACAUUUCUAUUAAGAAAGAAACUAUCUAGUGGUAAAGGACAAGAUAGUUUUAGUUCGUGAAGUUUUCACUGCCCAAGCUAACAUCAAAAGCUAUAACAAGACAAAUCCUAAUAAGGUAAGAUAAAAGGUUGCACAAAAGGGACAUCUUGCUCCUUGUUGAAAAUCUCAUUCAAUUGCAAAUCUACCACAUCAAGAAUGCUUUCUCUUCUAUAAUUUUCUCAUAGCCAAUCCACAAUACUAUUAUUAUACUUGGUUUGCAUGCUUUUUUUUUCUUUUCUUUUCUUUUUGGCUUUCUAAGUUAUUUUUUUCUUUGGUUAUAGCAAUGGCAUCAUUAGUGUGUUAAAUUCCCUUAUAGGUAAUUCCUCAAACAUUUAAUGUCCUCAUUGGUUCAAUUAAGUCUUAUAGUAUGAAACGAAAAAUAAAAAUUCUUGUAUUCAAAAUCAAAUGGAAGCACAUUAAUUAAAAAAUGCAAACAUAAGAGAAACAUUGAAAUCCAAUUACAAAGAGUAGUAUCAAAUUUUCCAUAUCUACAAAAUUCAGGUGUUAAGAUUUCUAAAAAUGAAAUAUAUAUAUAUAUAUAUAUAUAUAUAUAUAUAUAUAUAGAUAAAUAGGGUUCAUUGGGAGAAGACCUACAUCUACAAAACAUCAAGGUGUGACGUUAAGAGAGGAAUUCAAUCCAUACCUGAUAUGAAGGCAUGGAUUUGAACACAUUGACUAGAUUUGAAGAAUGCAAUUCAUCCAUGGGAAUUUGUGUACCUAAAGAGGGUUGGUUUUUGGAGGUACUGGAAGAUGGUUGGAGUAUGGUAGUGGCUGUUGAAAGGGUCGAUGGUGGUGGGAAGCCAUAACUACUAGUGAAGAGGAAGUUAGGUGAAUUGGAGACUUGAUGAAGAAGAUAAUGUGAGUUUGAGAAAAUUUCCUCCAACUUUUCCCUUCUUUUUCUCUCUUAUUUUCCUCACUAAUUUGAAGGAAAGUAGAAGAGAAAAUAUUACAAUAUUUUCUUUAGUAUUUUCUUUUAUAUUUUUUCCAUCAUAUUUUUCAUGUCACCCAAACUAAGGAAAAUAACUUUCCAUAGUAUUUUUUUUUCCUUUCCCUUGCAUUUUCUGAAAACCAAACACAAUCUUUAUAAAUAAAAAUUAAGAACUAACACAAGAUUGUAUAUUCUUCCUCUUUAUUCUUGCAUUUCUACAUCUACUACUCUAUUUGACAUCAUAUUUUUACUCUCUUCUUCAAUCAGCAUUCCUCCCUUUAUAUAGAGUUAUCUUCACACCAAUUCAUAAGAUAAGAAAGGUGAAUGAACCUUGGGGCAAAUUUGGACAACUAGUGGCAACUAGUCAAGAUUUGAAGUCAACUUUUGCUUGAUUUUUUUGGCAUGGGCAGCAACUUGUGGACCCUCUUUAGCAUGAAAAUGACUAGAAUAUGUUAAGCUCUCUUAUUAGAUGGUUAAUGAUGUAUGAACCAUACGACAAUCAUAGGGUGGAGAAUAUAUGGUAAUUAUGCAAAUAAAUAAAUAAUGGUAUCCAAUUAUAUAAAAAGACAUCUUCCAACAUUUGAUAUAAAUCUAUAAAAAUUAAGAGGAAAAUACUAAAAAAAAAACACAUUAAACCUAAAAAUAUGGACUUAAUAUAAAAUGAAGCAAAAAGGUAGAAUUAAAACCAAAUAUUAAAUAUGAAUAUAGUUUAAGUAUUAAAAAUAUUAUUAUUUAGGUUUUAAUCAUUGGGCUUGCUAGAGGAGUAUAUAUAUAUAUAUAUUUAUCCUAUCUCUGCACAACAUUUGUAAAUUAAAUAUCUAUUUCUGUUAUUUAAAGGAUACAUUGAAAUGAUUGGAUGAAAGAUUUAUUCCAUAGCCUAAAAUGAUGGUAUUGGCAUUAUAUAUAUAUAUGUAUGUAUGUAUGUAUGUAUGUAUUUAUGUGUUUGCUCAAAUGAUAGGCCGAUUUUAAGCCAUAAUUAUAAUAACUGUAUUAUUGUAUUAUUAAAAUAAAAAGGUUGUUGUCCUUUAAUUUUGAUUUGAAAUAUAGGGGGUAUUUCUAACACUAAGAUGGUGUUUAUUUUUUUGAUUGAAUAGAAAAAAAUAAAAAUAUUUGAUUUUUUUUAUUCAACUAAAAGUAACAUGUUGAUAUCAACCAACCUUACUAAAGUGAACUUAUUAUUAAUAGGUUUAGUUUAGUUAUGUUAGUUGAUAUUGGCAAGUUAUUUUUAACUACAUAGAAAAAAAUAAAAUAUUUUAGUUUUUUCUAGUCAAUAAAAAAGCAAACACAUCUAAAAUUAGAUAAUAAAAUACUUUGACUGGAAAUAAAUUUCAUAUGGACCACUGUCAAAUACCAUGCACAAGGAGAAAUUCGGAUCCUCACUUGCUCUUUGAAUUUAAUGCAUUGAAUUUGAUGUUGCCUAAAACAAAUUAUAUUUCAUGUCCUGUAUUAUGAGUAGAGAACCAUUCCUUAUGUUAGAUUUUAGAUAAAGAAUGGAUAUUGGAGAUUGGAGUUGUAAGAAAUUAGGAGAUCCUAAUUUUAAAUAUGUAACAAAGUUCUAUAAUCGAUUCAAUCCAUGUUUUACAAAUUGUAUUUCUUUCUAAUAUUGGAGCAAACUUUUUCUUUGUUUCUUAUAAAUUUCAUUUGGGAAUGAUUUAAAAAUAAAUAAAUAAAAGCCCUUAUAAAUAUUAAAAAGUAACGCUUUCUUAUAAAAAUUAAUUAGGUGGAUAUAUGGUAAGGUCAAAUUCGGGAUAACUUCAUAUUUUUUUGCUUUAACUGAAAACUAAAAUCAAAAUUAAAGUAAUAAUUUUUAAGGGGAAAUAUUGAUAUUGUAAAAGUUUUAUUAAACAUGAAAGAACUUCUUAUAUAAACAAAAACGGAAUUAUAAAAUUCUUAUAAGAAAUAACAUUUUUAUGACUUCUACAUGAAACCUUUUUUUUAAUGUUAUAAGUUUUUUAAUAAAAUAAUUAAAUAGGUAUAAAAACUUUUAUUUAACUCUUUAAAGUCAAUCCAAAUAAAAUGUAUAUAUAUAUAUAUUUGAAAAUCACUUUUAAAAAUCCAAAAAAUAACUUAAAAAUAAUUUCUAAAUAUUUUUUUUAACUUACAUUUUAAAAAAAAUUGAAAAUGAUUUGUUUUUACUAGUUAUUUAAAUUAAGGAAGCAGGAAAGAGUUGGCACUAAUGUAAAAAAAAAGAAAAAAAGUGAGGGUUGGAAAGUAAUUAAAUCACUAAAAAUAGACUUGGAGUUCCUUCAGUGUGCAAUUAGACUGAAUUUGUCCCCAUGCAAUGGAAAUGGAAGAUUUUUUUUUUUUUUUUUCCUUUUCCAUUAUCUUGUUGUAGUCUUGUGAUAUUGUUACUAAAAUAGGAGGUUAAAAUAUAAAUUAUAUAUCAAUUAUUUUAAAUUUAGGAAAACAAUGUUUAUUUUAAUUUGAAAUAAAUAAGUAGAAAAAAACUGAUUUUAUCUCAAUUGUGAAAGACUUCAUUAAAAUUUUCUUAUUUGCAAAAUAUUUUAAGCUGUAAAAGUAAAAAUUAAACAAAUCAUUUCAUGACCUUUUUCACAACAUGAUAUUUUAUCAUGUUGAAUAAAAUUGGAAUGGUCAAAAGUUGUUAAAUCAAGACUUCCAUGGCAAAUUCCACCAUUGCAUAUCUCAAAGAUUAUUCUACAACAUUAUCUUUGUAGACUUUUAACAAUCUAAGAAAUUGAAAAAUUAUAUAAUAAUCCCAUACACAAUAUUCUACAACUUUACAAUAUUCUACAAUUUUUUUGAAUAAAAAAUAAAUGAUGAAAUCUACAACUUUACAAUAUUCUACAAUUUUUUUUAACAAAAAAAUAAAUAAUGAAAUCUUAAUGAAGCGAACAAUCAAUGAAAUCUUUGGCAUGUUAAUUCUUUGCAGCUUUAACAUGGUGGCAUGUCGGAUGGCGGAGGCAACAUUUGAGCUUCUAGGUGUUUACCAUUUUUCACUAUGAACGCAGUUUCCAUGCCCCAAGUUAGAUGGCGUUCUACAUGGCAGUGCAUGAACCACACUCC
rnacentral:lncRNA from 1 species